GAUUAUUAUAUAUAUGUUGAGUACAAUUCGUUUAUUAUGGGCCUAUAUAUAUCACUACAACAGAAUUAGGUUAUAGGGACACAUGUUUGGGACACUUUUGAGUAAGUGUCCCAUUUAUAUUAAAACUUAAAAACACAUCUACUAAUGCCUAAAUAUAAAGCCCAAUCCAAUCAAAAAUAAAAGAUUACUCUACUCAACCCACCACACCCAGUCCAUUUGGCCCGAUUACAAACAGAAAAGAAAAAAAAAAAAGAAAAAUCAAUUACCAUCUUUUCUUCUUUCUUCACUCAAUCUACUGAAAUUCUAGACGAAGAGCCUUUACUGUCGUCCCCCUCCGCCACUGCAGCCAACGAGAUAGAGUUUCGGCGGUUGCUAAAUGCUUAAAUAAGUGUUGGUAAAUUAGCAGCACUCUUUUAGGUUAUAGCGACACUCUUUAACUGUCACUAUAUACCUAGCGAUCCCACAUAUAGCAACACUUUUUAAAAGUGUCGGUAAUUUUAGCUAGCAGCACUUUUUUGACAUGUACCUAUAUUUAAAAGUGUCGCUAUAGACCGUUUUUGUUGUAGUGUAUAGUCAUGUUCUUUUAAAUAUUUAUCAACGUAUUUUGAAACUUGUUUGUCAAAAUGAAAAACUUAUUCUGUGAUAUGAUUUUUAGACUAGAAAUGACUUUUACAGCAUAGUGUGGCAUGCAUGUUGUAAUAAUAUACAAGAUUUUGUAUUCUACAAGGAGAAUAAAGAGGAAAACGAGUAAAAAAAAGAGAAAAAGAAAGAAAAAAAAGACCCAAGUGGUCCAAAUUAAGACGAUUUAGCAUUUUGAUGAUGCGUAUGGUUUUUUAGUUAUAUUGCAUGUGCACUGGUCUAGCUAAUUGGUCCCCCUCGAUUGAAUCUUCAUUAAGAAACCAUCUUUUCUUUUCUUUUCUUUUCUUUUCUUUUCUAAUCUUUUUCUCUAAAAAAAUCUGUUAAAUUAUGUGAAACAAUCAUUAAUUGUUCUCCAAAAACUUAAAUUACCCAAAAGAUGACGUUUCUAAUAUUUGUAUACAUUAAAUUAUGUGACGUAAUCAUUAUUCUCUAAAAACUUAAACCAUAGCUACCAGAGAACAUUGUUUCUAAUAUUUAUAUUCAAUAGAACCCUCCUUUUUUUUUCUUUAGGUUGAUUUAUAUAAGUUAGGUUAGUUAUGGUACAUAUUCUUAUAGUGACAAGGUAACCACAUGACUAGAAUGUUGUUUCCCUGCUCAUGGAAAAAGCCCCACACCUCAUGCUUCUCUUUAAUUUUUUUGCUUGCUCCUUUUUUUCUAUGAAAGCUGCUAUGUAGAGCCCCUUGGCCACCUAAGAAAGGCCACAUCUUUAUCACAUCAAAGUAUAUUGUGGGGCUACACCUAACUCUCCUCCUUGCAUGCUUUGGAGAAAAGGGUUCAACCCUAAUUAAUUAAGUUUAUAUAAAUUAGUAAUGCAUGAUUAUGAUAAACUUGGCCUACAUUAGUACAACCACUGCGAAAGCAGUGAAAAGAUGUUAAUCGUGCUAGUUCUAACGAGAAGCAGGUGCGUAAGAUUGAAUCAUUAGCCCUUAGUAUGAAAUUACGAAUGGAAUUCACGAGUUAAAAUUAUUUUUUUUUAUCACAAGUACUAUGUUUGUUUAGUUUUUUUCUUGUUUAUUAUUGAACGGUAAUUAAGGUUAGAUUUCAAAUCUUAUGAAACUUAUUAGGAAGGAAUUUUCUAUAUUUCUAGAACUAGGAAAUUUAACUUCAAUUAACAUCAUGAGCAAUUCAUAUACUCAAAUCAGUUGCAAACUAUUUGGCCUGUACUCAAGCACGAUUCCCGAAGUAAUUAAUGUACAUGCAUGAAACUCUUGAUAUAUACUUUACGAAAGGUUAAAAAAAAAAAAUCUGACACUGAUACCACUAAUGAAUCGAGAAGCAAAUUACGAAAAAAAGAGAGCAAAAAUAAACUUCUACAAGCGUAUAACUUCAAUAGACCAAGAAUAUUGAAGAGGUUUUGUGGCCCUAUUGAAGCUUAGUUAUGAAAAAUCGAAGAUUGAGCUGUUCGAAAAAGCUUUGAGCUUAAGCUACAUAAGAAUUUGAUAAAGCUUUCUCUUUCGGGUCUAAAAGCUUGCGAUAUGUAGCUUUACACUAUCUUUAAUUUUCUAGUUUUUAGAUCGACUAGUCAUUUAAAAAGGGGAUGAUCAUGAAUCGACAACUACAUAAAAAUGCUAUUCUAACCAAAUUAAAACUAUGACUCUAACUAAUUAACUACUAACAUCAAUUUCCCUAUUCUAACUUUUAAGGUACACUGAGUAGGUAACUUAGUGCCCUCCCACUUGACUAGACUUAAUUUAGCCUAUUAGUUGGACCAUAAGCAACCAAACCACCAAAAAACAAGUGUAGGUAACAUGUGACUAUGACUUGUCAUCAAGAAUUUCCCUAGAUUUUAAAAAAUUUCAAUAUCAAUUUCCCUAGGGUUGAUCUACCAUGUUAGUGUGGACUACAUUUUAAUUUUUUUUCCCUUCCUUUCGCUAAAAAUUAUUGCUGGAUUAUUUUCUGUUAGAUCGAGUUUUUGCAUCCUAAGUUACGAUCCUAAACCCCUUAUAUUCCAAAUUGCUUUAGGUUUAAUUUUCACAACUGACAUAUUUUCUAAUCAAUUUUAUCACAUUAUAUUCUGCCUUUUCUUUCAAUUUUUACUUUAUAACAACAAUUUUUAAAUAAAGAAAGGACAAAAUCACUUGAUAGUAGAGAUUUAGAUUUUGUUUGGACUUGUAAAUAUUUCGUUAAGCAUAUCUUUUUUCAUUUAAUUCACAAGCAUAAUUAGAUGACUAAAUAGGUAUAUUAUAUUCAAUUUUCAAGUUAUUGUUUUUGGAGGAAUAUAAGUUAUCUCGCUGAUAAAUUAUAAUAUCCUAAUUUAAUAUAAAUAUGAAAAUCUUGCAAAGAAAAAAAAAUCAAAUUUGUAUUUAUAAUGUAUAAAUUAUUAUAAUGAACCAUUUCUGUGGUCCAUAGCUGAUGUGGCGGACCAUUACCACCAAAAGAAUUCUUUUAAAGACACCAUUUUCUUAUUAGGUCCUUAAAGUUAUUGUGGUUGCUAGGAUCUUAAAUAGAGCACACCAUAUGAUAAAAAUUCGAUUUCAAUUUUUUUUCUUCUCCCGUAACGCCUUUUACAUCGCUUUGCUGCAUCAAAACUGCUUACAUUUCAACUUGUUGAGGACCGAAACUGCUCGAGUAAUCAAACUUUUAGAUCUUAAAUUUUGUCGACAUUUUAAACAUCCAAAUGAAAAGACCAACUAAGAUAUCUAUUUAUUGCAAUAAAAGUAAAAAAAAAUCUAGUUUGUUGGUGCGGUAAUAUUGAAAGAUAAAUGAUAAAAAGAGAAGAAAAAUAAGACAUAUAAUAUUUACGUACUUUAACUACGGACUAGCUAUGUCUAUAGGGGCUACGUCUAUGGACAAUGACGAAGCAGGAAUUUUAAUUAUAACCAAGGAGUACAGAAUAUGCAUCUCUUACAAAAUUCUAAGUCUCAAAGUAUAUGCUAUGCUCUCUCUCCUCUGUGUAUCAAAUUACAUUGAAUAAUUGAUAUAUUUAUACAGAACUGAGCUGGAAUACUAUCAAUAGUAUUUAGACUAUUUUGCUAUCGAUUUUUUAGCCGUUAGAUCUAUACUUUGAUCAAUUCCACUAUUUAGAUUAUACUAUUCAACCAACCACUCACUCAACCCUAAGAGGACCAUCAUUAAAUUCUGGAAGAUCAUUAUCAUUCCAACUCUAUAAUUUUUUAUCUAAAGGUUAAAAACUCAAUAGCAAAAAAACUUAAAUACUAUUAAUAAUACUCUAGCCCAAAUACUAUUUAUAUAUGUGACUAAAAUCUUUAUAAGAUUAUGAAUAAUUUUGAUAAUUAAAACUAAGUAUAAUUGUAACUUAAUAAGUUGAUCAAAAACAAGAUAGAGUUGGAAAAUCUUAUGGUUUUCACUUCAAAGCUCGAUAGAUUGUUCAUUUUCAUUUAUUUUUAACAAAAAAAAUUAAUUCAAUUUUCUAUAUCUAAAAAUAAAAACUUCAACUAAAAAUUCCACCCUUCUCUAAAAGUAAUCAACUCAAAAAAAGGACCAGAUUCAGAAUAAUCUGACAGUCCUUCCAAUCUGUACUGUGCAUUUUAUCAAUUAACAAAUAUGUCCUUAUAUUAUUGCACAAUUAGGUAAAGAUGUAUGAAAACCCCCUGAGCUAUAAGUCGUUUGGAAAUUCACCCAAAAAAGAAGGCCCUUUUGAAAUUACCUUCUAAACAUCAUUUUUUUGAAUCGGCGUCUUCUCAAUUUUUGUUUUUCUUCAAGAAUCAACUUAAUUGCAAAUUAAAAAAAUUUCUUAAAUUAUCGGUGACUCUUAUAAAAUUUAAUAAGUUUAAUCAGUAUUUAGCAAAAUAAAAUUAGAAUAAUAAAUGACUAAUAGCCAAGGGAGUCAUUAUAUUUAGUAAAAUCAACCAUCCGCAAUAACUUAAAUGAAAAGAAAUUAAAAGUUUGAAAGAAUAUUUAUAAGGAUCAAAAACAUAAAGUUGAAGUUCCAAUUUCAAAAUUACCUAUAAAUGAGGGGUCUCAAUACACUUUUACCUUUCAACAAGCACAAACCCAACUAGGGCGGUAAUCUAACUUGCUGUUCGCAAGCCAGCUCGUGUUCGGCUCGAAAUGAGUUCGAAAUCAAAUUGUUCGUUUAGUAAACGAGCGGAACACAAGCUGAAUUUUUCAACUUUUUAAUAAAUGAGUAGAACACGAGCUGAAUUUUUUAACUCGUUUAAUAAACGAGUAGAACACAAGUUGGGAUCAGCUCGCUUGUGUUCGGCUCGAUAACAGCUCGAAUAUAUAUAUAUUUUAUAUUUAUAUAAUUUAUUUAAUUUAUAUUAUAUAUAUAAAUAAAUAAUUAUAUAUAUUUAUUUAUUAUUUAAAUUUUAGUAAAAAAAAUAAAAUCGAGCUCAAUUAUAAAAAAAUACAUUUAUAUGUAAAAUUUUAACUUUUAGAUCAAAAUCUAAUGAAUAAAAUUUUUAUAAAUUUAUUAUAUAUAUAUAUAUUAAAUUUAAUUUAUUUAGUUUAUUAUUUAUUGAUCGGCUCGUAAAUUAUAUUAACGAGCAAAAUACAAACUGAAUUUUUCGGGUCGCUAUUUUUACGAGCUAACUCGUUAUCCGCUCGUUGACGCACCAAAACCCAUCUGCUCUCUCUCUCUCUCUCUCUCCCGGAAGUUCCAACCUGUAACGCCGUGCACAUCACGGUUACACUGCACUGACACGUGGGCCCCACAUGCAAGGGGGUCCCACACGUCAUGCUAAUAAGAACCAAGAUAUAUGAGCGUUACAUGGAAAGCAAAAUCACCGUCUCCUUCUCUCAUCCUCCCUCCAAUCUACAUCUUCUCAAUUAUUAUACUUACCUGCUACCUCUCUCUCUCAUCCUCCCUCUCUCUCUCUCUCUCUCUCUCUCUCACUCUCACCGUCCUUUCCUCUUCUUCGCCUCAUCGGAGCUCUCUUUAAUCCACAUUAUUCUCCGUUUUAAAUAACACACCCCCUUUAUUAUUAUUAUUAUUAUAAAUAAUACUACUAAAACUAAUCCCAUUCUUUCUCUCUCCACACAUGAACACACUCUCGCUCUCAUCUUAAGCUCCUGAACACCAGCACCCCCACUACGAACAUAACUACCCAAAAAAAAAAAAACAAAAAACAAAAAAAUCCCCAAACUCCACGGCUACUACUGUACACACAAUGUGGCUUCACCUAUCACUAUCUCUCUCACUUCUCCAGGUGAAGAAGAAGAAGAAGAAGAGAGAGAGCGAGCGCUAGAGCGGUCAGAGGAGUAAUCCCCCUCGCUCACAAGAAUUUUAUAUAUAUAUAUAUAGUUCGUAGGAGGAGGAGAUAGAUCGAGAUCUCACCGGCGAUCAUGGUGGCCGCCGCCGCCGCCGCCGCCGUCGCACCCGCACGAAACCCUUCUCCCCGGGAAGAUCUCGCUCGCCCCCCUCUGAUCCCCUCGGAGAGCAAUGGCGGCGCCGCCGCCUCCGCGGCAGCCGCGGCGCGGCGGCCCCGCGCGAAGGAGAUCGGGUCCCGCUACCUCUCCUCGUUCUCUUCGCCCUCGCCCGCGCCCUCGGCCUCCACUUCGUGCGCGUCCUCGACGUCGUCGUCGUCGUCGUCGAGCUCUUCGCGGCGGCUCCCGUCGCCGGUGCCGGCGCCGCGGCCCUCGGCGACCCCAGCAUUGCCCCAGUCGGCGGCGCCGCGGAGGUCGCACUCCGUGGGCCGCGCCCGCCCCGCCGCGCGGGCGGAUCCGCGGCCGCAGAUCCCCGCCGAGCCCCCUCCCCCGGCCCCGCCGCCGCCCUCCUCCGCCGCCGCGUCGCGCGCUAUCUGCACCACCACGAGGAGCCUCUCGGUGUCGUUCCAGGGCGAGUCCUUCUUCUACCAGACCAGCCGCGCCAAGGCCGCGGGCUCGCCGAAGCCCACCCCCGAGCGGCGGAGGCUCUCCACUGCAGCCGCCGCCGCCGCCGCCGGCGCGGCGUCUUCGAAGGCCGGGGAGCAGUCGGAGAACUCCCGGCCGUCGGAUCGCCACCACCGGUGGCCCGCCGCUAAGCCCCAGGCGUCCAAUCCCCUCGCCAGGAGCUUGGACUAUUCCUUAGAAUCAAAGAACUCGAUCCUGGCGACCGUACACUUGCUGCAACAGUCCAUGGUGUUCGAUGACGGUUUGAGGCGCGCCUCCUCCUUCGAUGCUGACGAUCUCUCUGCAUCGUCGGACACCGAUAGCGUCUCCUCUGGCAGCAAUUCGGGGGCACAAGAUCUCGGGGUGUCGGGACGAGCUAGGGUUUCUCAGAGGGGAAUUAGUGUUCCUGCGAGGUUCUGGCCGGAGACCAGCGGUCGGCUAGGUUUGGUGAAGAGAUCUUCAGUAGAUAGCCCUUUUUCAUCUCCUCGCUCGGCUUCUUCACCUCUCCAUGGACCAGUGAGGGCUUCGUCGCCGUGUAAGGUGAUGGCUUCGCCAUCGAGAGGGAUGGCCAGUCCUUUGCGGGGAAGGAGUGGAUCGGCGGUGAGCACUUCUUCUCCUGUUGGGGUUCAGCCGGCGAAUGCGCCCUCUAUCAUUAGCUUUGCUGUGGAGGUGAGGAGGGCGAAGAAAGGAGAGAACCGGAUCGAGGAAGCGCACGUGCUGAGGCUCUUGGACAACCGGCAUUUGCAGUGGCGGUUUGUGAACGCGAGGAUCGAUGCUCUGUUGCUAGUGCAGAGACUAACUGCAGAGGUGAGGGCGAUAACGUUGCAGUUGUAUCAGUUUCAAUUGAAUCUAUGUUUUGCUUAUCACUUUGGAACUGCUUACUUGUGUUUCCAUCUUUGCAGUCUAUAAUUCAAUGUGAAACACCAUAUAAUUGCCUUGUAAUGUGUCGUUGCUGAAUUGUUGUUGCCUGUCCAACUGUUCUACCGAUGUAUAUAAACUUACACUGUUAUCUGCAUAACUGUGUAUUUCCUAUUCAUUUAGUCCUCAUGAUAAUUGUCAUAUGGUUUACCAUUUGGUGAAUUUCCUUCAUCCUUUUGUAAUUAGGCAUUUAUCAUUUACUUUACAGAACAUUGCUAUAUUCUAUUAACUCAUUAGAUAGAUAGUUGAUUUGACAUAUUUAAGAUAUGCUGUAUUUGUGACAAAAUAUGACUUCAUAGAUAUUUAAUCGGCGAGGGUAGCAAGCUACAUAAUUGUGCAGUCAGAAAUGGUAGAUCUCUUAGUUUACAAUAGUUCAUACAUAGGGGCACCAUGCAAGCUGCCAAUGAUGAGCUUGCGUACAAUUGAAAUUCAUUCAAAGAAUGGCAUAGGUACAUGAACUUUUUUUGUGCAUAAAUGAUUUCAAAAGGUGAAUUUUUGACUGGAUUGACACUCUCUUACUUCAUGUAUUAGGUUGGAUUUUGCAUACUAUGAGAGCUACUUUUAGUUUCUUUCUAUAAAAGAGACUUGAUAGCUAGUACUUUUGUGUAGUCAUGAGUAAUCAAAUUGCCCUUAACUUUUUAACUUGAUACUUUGUUUAUAGUUAUUACUUAUUAGCUCCCCACAGGUUAUAGAAGUUAUGGCAGUCACAAGUAGGUUUCUAGGGCAUUACUAGUUUUGAAUAAUGUUCUGAUAGCAGUGGACUUCAAAGAUCAUCUAAAAAUGUUGCAACUAAUUAAUUUGGACUUUUGUUAAAUGAGGGCUAGUCACCCAGAAUUUUAACAUCUCAAAUUGGCAUUGCAUUAUAAAGUAUCUUGGUUUUCCCUAAUACUAUGCUAUGAGCCUUCGUAGGCCACCUAGAGUUAAUAUUUUGGCCGGUAGAUCGCUGGGUUACAUGCAGUUGACUAAUUUAUCUUCUAUCUGUAACUGUUUAGCUGAUCAUCUUGGGCUGCCUGACUUCUUAGCACAGAAUGAAGUUUCCUCCUAUCAAUUUUCUAGUUUAGGCUAGUAAUUAUUUCAUAGCUAGGUGAUUACAAUUCUUCAUCUGUUGCCAUGAUCAUCUUUUUCUUUUCUUAUACUUAAGGCUGAAUUAGUUUUUUCGUUUAGUGUUAGUGAUGCAAAACUCUCCCAGCCCAAUCUGGUUGAUUGCGUCCUACAUCAGUUUUUCGAUAGAUACAGAGAUUCUUCAUAGUUAAACUCAGCUAAAAAUAACUGCUGAUCCUACUGUUAAGUUUUCCUUCAUCUAUUCCUCCCCAUUGCGCAGUUCUGAAUCAGUACUUCGUCCUUUUGGUCUCUGUUCAUUGCUGAGUACAUUUUAGAAUAUUUAUCAACUUUUCCUUCAUCUAUUCGGUAUACUCAUCAACUUUUCCUUCGUAUAUUCCUUAAAUAAUGUAUACUACACAUUGCUUAUAUUCUUUUUGAUUUGUAUCAGAAAAAUCUUUACAAUGCAUGGAUUAGUGCCUUGAGGUUGCGUGAUUCUGUCACUAGUAAAAGGAUCAAGCUCCAACUUCUGAUGCAGAAUCUUAAGCUAACUUCCAUUCUUAAGGGACAGGUAAUUCUUCGGUUAUCAUCUCUAUUUUGCAGAUGUUGUGGAAGCUUUCUCGUAUAUUAUUCUUUGUACACUUUUUGAUUGUCAUUGCCUAUGCCAUGCUUGAAUUCAAAACUAAAUGAAAAUUUUGACCUUUCGCAGCUAUCUACUCACAAAAAAGUGGAUUGAGUUGUGUCUAUUUAAUCAAGUAAAAAAUUACUCUGGGAAUUGAUAUUAGUGGGCAAAAAGUAGCUUAAUAUGCAGUAUUUGAAGUCAAGAAGAGAUAAAUAAGCAAAGGCCAGUUGGCAAAUUAAUCAACUGAAGAAAUUUUAUCUUAAAUUAUACACCUGCUAAUGGGAUUUGAAUUUCACAAAGGCGUAGGUCUUAGAAGUUUCAAAAGGCUUGAAGAGGGAAAAUUUGUGGAAGAGAGUUCCAGUCUACUAUGUAUCGUAGAAUUAGGUGACUGCCAUGCAUCAAUUUCAUUAGCCCUUUUACUUUGUGUAGGUUGCUAGAAGGUGACUGUCCUUUUGCCAUAACACACUUCAAACUUUUUCACAUGAUGUACAUCUGUACCAAUAUACAGUAGGUUGCAGGGCCCAAGUGAGUCCAAAGAUCUCUCUUCCUUUAGGGGAUUUGAGCCCAUUCAAUCUACCUCUUUGAGUCUUUUAUCCAUGGUAUCCUGCUUAGAAUUGGGUAGAGAUAAGUGGAGCUAUUUGAGUUUCGUAUGGUUAAAUCUGAUUGAAUCAUAGAAACUUGCAAUUAAUUCAUCACCAACUUAAUUUGCCAUGCAUGUCAUGUUAUUUCAUAUCCAUUUUGUUCUGAGGCUAGUUCAUAUGUAGUAUAUCUACUUUAAUAGUUCUUGUCUUUCAGUUCCUAUUAUCUCUUACUUUUUUUUUUUUUUCCGCUUUAGCUGGUAACUGAAAGUAGAUGGCCUAAGCAUCUCCCACUCCAAAAUUUCCUCCUUUUACCCUCAAGUUGGUUACUCUUUGUUCUUAAUUGUCUUUGUUUGUUUGCUAUUAGCAUAUUCUUCCUUCUUCAUCUUGUCCCAUUGUAACUAUGCUACCAGUGAUAGGGCAGCAAGCUUUCUGGCCCAACAAUUGGGGUCAGAAUUAUGCCUUCAACUUUAUUCUGAUCAAUAUAUAUAACUAGUACCUUUAAAUAUUCAUCUUGCUUGGAAGUUUAAAAAAUUAUUUUGUUAAUCAUUCUGCUCUGUUGACUACUGAGAAACUUUCCUUUAGUGUUUUGCUAUAGGGAAAAUAUUUAGGACAUGUUUGGUUCACCUAUUUUAGACUAUGGAAUCGGAAUGGAAUCGGAAUGGAAUUCAUUGAUUCCGAUAGUUGUCGUUUGUUUUAUAGGAAUCGGAUUCUGAUUCCCAUUCCACUCCAGAAUGGGAAUUGGCUAAAUCCAUUUAUGGCCCAAUCUGGCUUUGAAUCUCGGAUUGGCCCAUUCCAAAGUAAACUAUUCAAAACUCUCUUUCACCAACAGCUACCUCCUCUCCCUUCAUCACUUUAAUCAAAAUCCUCUCUCAAAAAAUCUAAAUUUCUAUUCCGAUUUCCAAUCCAAUAAUGAACCAAAUAUUUUUGGAUGAUUCGUCAUUCCAUUCUCCAUUCCAAAGCAAUCCAAUUCCAUUUUCCAUUCCUAUUCCAAUCAUGAACCAAACAUGCCCUUAUGUGCUACUGUAUUUAAGAUUUUAGAGCAUUAGUUAUCUAAAAAGUUUCAAAGCUACUUGUGCCCUUGUUAUUUAUCUUUCCUGCAGAAACAACCUGUUAUUUUUCAUGACAAUAAUCUUUGAAUAGCAAUACUUUUAGGCUAUUAAUUCUUCUGCUGCACUAAUAGUAUUUUCAGCUUUUGAAACUUGACCAGUAGAAGUUUUAUACAGAUGUCUUAUCUGGAGAGUUGGUCUCUUAUGGAUAGAGAUCAUUCAAACUCUUUAUCAGGAGCUAUUGAAGCAUUAAAAGCUAGCACUCUCCGUCUUCCCGUUGUUGGUGGUGCAAAAGUCUGCUCCUCCUCUUAUGCCACCUUUACUAUACUCAAUUUUAGUGCAGACUUAUAGUUUAUUUCUUUUUGAAGGCGGACAUCCAAGAUGUUAAAGAUGCUGUUGGUUCGGCAGUUGAUGCAAUGCAGGCAAUGACAUCUUCAAUGAUAUCUUUGUUGUCAAAGGUGAUUGCUUUUACCAUUUUUCUUCUGUACAUUCCAUCAAUUCUAAGCUCCUAUACUGUCUUUGCUGCUUCCAUGUUUAUACUUCAUCUAUUUCAUUGAGGGCCUGUUUAACUCUUUUAUUUAGAGGCAAGCUAUCAACCUAGUAUCAACCCUUGAAGGAAAAUUUUGUAGAUAAAUUAAGGCUUCUUAACUAUUGCAUCAAAACAAGUUCCUGCACAUUCUGCAACGUGUGAAAAGAGAGUAUCAAAUCAUUUGCAUUAAAAAAAUAUAUAUUUGUGUUUAAGCAUGAAACGAAGGUUUUCUUGGGAAGUAAGCUGAUAAUUUUCUACUAUUACUAACGCUAUCUUAUUGAAGUGCGAGAAAAGAUAUCUUCACUGACCACAUUGUAGAAUGCACGGUUGUCAAUUUCUAUCGUGGCUUGCUCGAUACUGAACAUGUAGUGUUGGAGAGUUUAUAAGCUUUUAUAAUUGUACCCUUGUAGAAAGUAGUUUUAGAUGUUGAGUAAAGAGUGAAGUCCUUAUGCUACAUCAUUGGAGAACCUGCAGAAAAUUUACCAGCCAUAAGCUGGUGGUCCCAUCUCGAGAGAAGACAGGUCAAAUAGUCAACAGGAAGGGAGGAAUAAUAAGGAAAAGAGAGAGGAGAAUAAAGUCAAAAGAUAAAGAAUAAGAAAGGAGCCAACAGCAAAAUGCGUCAACAUCAAGGAUUUCUCCUUUUUUAGAUUCAAAUGAGAGUUAGGCGUCCAUAGAAAAGUGAAAGAAGUCUCUGAAAGUGAAAAAAUAGUAAUAAUAAAAAAUGUUUAGAAUGAAAGAAAGAAACUUAAAAGAAUUAAACAAGGGCUUUGACUUCACAAAACUUUUUUUUUCCUUUUGGCCACCCUCCUUAUUUUAAGUACAAAUGUUCAAAAUGCCUUGGGUUUCAACAGAACUGCAGAUCAUUUAGUACUGUGGGUGAACUUAUUUAAUUUUUUUUUUCUUUUAAUCGUCUUUAUGAAGCUAAGGUCUUGCCUAUCACCCUCUCUAGCAACAGUAGCAGGAGAAUCACUAUUUGGAGGGCUAUACAGGGAUUGAUAUAUCUCAAUGACCUGCCGCAGAAAUUCUUUCUUUCUGUAGAAUUCCAUUAUUGCCUGCUUCCCUUUCUAGUUUGUUACCCCACUCCCAUUUAUUUCUGGUGGUUCAGUAUAGGCUGGUAGCGCAUGUUAAUAAAUCAAUAGCUCUUGCAUACACUUCAUUAUAAAUAGGAAGGUGAACUCAUGUAAAUUGGCAAUAGUGGUAGCAAGGAUGCUGAGAGUAGCCAGAUUUACGCCUGAAGUUUUGGCUCAAUAGUUGGAAAUGUAUAUGGCGUGAAGGCAUGCCAAGACAAAGUCAUUCCUGGCAAAAGCCUGUUUGACCUUGCUAUAAGGUGUAGUGUUGUUAGCUGAAGUGCUCUUUGUGUCUUGCUAUUCAGACGAUUUACAAAUCUCCCCAAAUUGCUUCUCUCUGCAUUUUCUGUUUGCCAAACAUUCUAUAAAAGUGACUAUUGCUGAAAGAAAAAGCAGCAGCAGCACCAACCAAGGGCUAAGUAUAUAUAGGUCUUUAAACACUGUAGUUCCUAAUGUUUCCUAACAGCAUCACCUUUUUCUAAUAAUACGGUGAGUUAGGUAUGGCACGUCUCACAACCAAAUGUCCUGUUGUGGACCCUCUAAAUUGAUGCCAAUUUCUUCGCCCAAGCAUGAUUAGGCAAGAGAUGAGCUUGCCUCGGAACCAAUAAGGCCACCCAGCAGGACUAUGCACCGCUUUAUAAAUUUCUCUCUAAGUAUGGUGUUGCGAUAUGGGGGUAACCUUUUAUAACAGCUCCUUUUCACAUGGGGAAAAAAAAAAAAAUCUAGAGUGCGAUGAGUAGUCCAAUUCAUGGGCAGACACUAGUUUUGUAUUAGAACUUUUUAAAAAAAUGAGGGGCAUAUUCGUGAGUACGGGUUUAUGUCUGCAAAUAACUAAAGCCGUAAAUAGAUCAUAUAUUUUGCAUAGCAUAUUUGCAAAUAUCUCAAAAGAAAAAUAACGUGCCAUAAAAAUCGAUUGAAAAUUUUCAUGAGGCGAAAGUUAUCCCAAGUCAACAGUGUUCUGAUCAUGUAUACUUGGCCAACUAUCAUCUCACAGUUUCUAGGAUAUUUUCUUCUCCAGGUUGAAGGGGCAAAUUCCUUGGUGUCUGAACUUGCGAAAGCGGCUUCUCAAGAACUAAAACUGUUGGAUCAAUCCAGAGAUCUCUUGUCCACUGUGGCUGCUUUGCAUGUAACUCCUACUACCCUUUUUUUCUGUCCUUUUGCAAUAUUAACAUGCAUUUGCUAAUUUAUUUUUCUUCUCAAAAAAAAAAAUCAGGUGAAGCUAUGUAGUCUGCAGGGCCACAUAUUACAACGAAAGUGCAGGUCCAGUAAGCUGUAAUUGUAGAGCAGAUUCUCGUACUGAUCACUAACUUCACAGCGGGCUCUUUUGUUCCCAUGCCAACUGGAGAUUGUCCGAAAGGUAUUGACGUUUUAUGUGAUUGGAUGUUUGUAGAGUGUUCUAAUUCUGCUUGUUGUUGAUCUCACGUAAUGCAUCUGAUUCAUGUUUUUUUUUUUUUUUGUAUUACUCGUAUGUCCAGAGGAAUGGCCUUGUUUUCUUCUUCUUCUUCUUCUUCUUCUUUUGACUUCUCCUGCAGAGAUUGCAGUAGUUGUAUACAGAUUACUUUUGCUGAUAAAAGGGUGUAUAUAUGUCAUGCUUUGUGGCUGCUGCUUUGAAUGAGCAAGUGGAAGAAAGCUACGUCUUUGUUUGCAAGAACUUUUGCUUUUUUGUGUGUUUUCUUUUUUCUCGGUGUUCUUUUUUCUAUUUGCAUUUUUAGAUCUGAGUUAUUACUUGGAAAGAUGAUUGCACAGAAGCAUUUUCAAUGCAACUCCGAAAUCAUCUCAAAGUUUUGGUUAGAUCAACCAACUUCAAUUUGGUGCAAUUGAGUUGCAGAAUUUCAAUUUGUGUUUCAUUCAGGUCUCUUUGUCAAAUUCUGUAUGGUUUUUCCAACAGAAGAAUAAUGCGACAUGGAUUUCAUCAUCUGCAAAAAGAUGGCAUGACUAUUGAUUCAGCUGCCACGACUGCAUCGUCAUUUAUGUUAUCUAUUAGAGAAGUGCGAAAGUUGAAUUGCCUGCUGUAUAAUCCCUCUUUCAAGAGAAUUAAACCAACUCUGGGGACGAUUCAAUUGAAGUUUCAGUAAUCUAAAUGAAACUUUGAGAUACAAGUUCAGUGACCAAUGUGUAAGCUAAUCUGUUACAAUAGCUUUCUCUAAACUGCACGCGGCGAAAAGAAAUCAGGGGCUAUAUAUGAUUUUGUUCUACAUCAAAACUCUGGUCGAAGUUGAUAGAUCCUUAGACAUCAAUUGAUUGAAUAACACCCUUGCUUUGGCUUAAAAGACCCCUGUUCUGAUCACUGUGAUCCUUAAUUUGUUGUGUUCUUCUCUUUCUGAACGGAGAUAAGGACGUUUAAGUUGAUCUCUCACUUUCUUUGAGCCAAUGUGCAAAUUUGUAUUCUUUUUAUUGGCUUUUAUCUCUUGACAGUUCCACUGGCCAGCUUCUGAUUGAGACCCAAUGGCUGCUACCCAAGUGCUAAAAAUUAGAAAAUUUUGUUGGCUGGUCCAUAUCUUUUGCUUCUAUCUUUUAACCCUAAUAAAAACAAAAUAGAAAACCUCCUCCUACAUUAUUAAUUGUAUAAUUUUGCUUCAUCAACUUUGAAAUGUCACCACUAAUUUAUAGCAUCAAAGCGAAACUCUAAAAUAAUUUUAAUUUUUUUAGAUCCUCUUAAUAUCCAAACAGAUUUAUUCGGACAACGUAUUUUAAAAAACUAGACCUUUGCCUGCACCAAUGCUUAGAAAGAAAAUGUUCCAAAUUUUUGGUGCUGUUUAAAAUAGUGAUAAAAUGCCUAUUUCAAAUUAAAAUAAAAUUUUAUGUCAAGGAGCAAGUAAGACCAGGGACAAGGGAACCUAGAUUUUUACCUAACAUAAAUAUGAAAACAUGGUUAAACAUAAAUAGGACUUAACUUAUGCGUAUUGACUACUUUGAUUUGACUAUUUAAUCUUUUAAAUUUUUAAUUUUAGUACCAAAUCUUUCAUAUUUAUUUGAGUUAGGUCAUUUGAUGUCUCUCCCAAUAAAAAAUUUAAGUUAAUUAUUUAUUUUAAUAAAUUUAUUGGUAUAUUGAAUUACUUAAAUUGUAUUAAUUAAAUCUGUAAAAAUACGACGGACUCAAAUUUUAAAAUGAAAGAGUCGUUAACAUAUUCAAAUCAAAUAAAUUAAAAAAUAAAAUAAAAAAUCUAAAAUUUUUUAAAAUUAGAAAAUCAGAUCAAAAUAAGUAAUACUUUUAACUUUUAUAUAUUUUCACUUACGAAAAUUGUGAAUUUCCCAUAGCUCACCAUCACCGUCCAGUCGUUUCGCCAUCUCCUUCAUCAUCAGAUGGGUGAUCUUCUAAGUUGCAAUGCCAUCACAUCAUAUAUAUUUUAAGGCGGUCAAAAAUUUUUAGAAAAAUAAUAAUAAGUUUUUAAAAUAUAUGAUAAAAUGGAUAAAUUUUAGGAAAAUGUAUAGAUUUUACACCCUAUUUUAGGGUUGAUAAAAAACUCAAAUAAAUUUGAAUAAAAAUAAAAAAAAUUUAAUGUGACGGUAGAAUAUUAAUAGUCUUGGGAUGAAGUUGGUAUAAGAUAUAUACUCCAUUUUAAAUUGUUCUAAAUUUUAUGAGCAAAUUUAAUUUCUUGAAAACAUGAAUAAUGCUGUGGGGCUGUCACAUUUUCAAUUCAAGCCAUGUGAAAUAUAUGAAACAAUCAUUGUAUUAUAAAAAUUUAAGAUUUUAAAAAAUUUCUAAAGACUUAAAGAGUUAAAAAAAGAUAUUUAUAAAUUUUUAUAUUGUAACGAUCUGACCCGUUAGUAAUAAUAAAUCGUUAAGCCCAAACAACCGGCCCAAAAUGUUUAAACCCAGUUAUUAUUAGGACUACAUCAUUGGGUCCAAACCAGACAAACCAGAACAAGAAUUACCAGACGGUAUGAGAUUCUAGAGGUGGCUCCUACCAAAUCCGUUGGUAUAGCACUUUGUCUCGUAUACCAUUUAGCUCUCACAAUUUCAGCUGGUAUUCGGCUCUGAAACUAAAUGUAACGACCCGAUCCGCUAGCAAUAAUAACUCAUUGGGCUCAAACAACCAGCCCAAAAUACUUAAACUCAGUUAUUAUUACUAGUGUGCAGGUCUCAUAUAAAUCGAUUGAAAUUAAUAUCUCAUCCGAUAUAAAACUAUUGAGGCAUUACAUAUAUUUAACAGAAUAUCUUAUUUUAGAUUGCUUUAAAUUUUAUGAUCAAAUUUAAUUUUUUUUUUUUUUUGAGAGAUAGAUAGCAUGCUACCCGCUUCGUUUAUUUUAUUUAGAAAUAAAUUUAGCUAGAAAUAUAAAUUAAUUAAGAUUCAAAUUUAGAUCUUGGAUGCCUAUCAUCAAGCUUUUUGUCAUUUGCUCUAGAAACGGUAGAUAAAUUUAAUUUGUUGAAAAGAUGAAAAUAAUGCCGUGGGGGCUGCCACAUUUUAUUUUUUUUCUUUUCCAUGUCCGUCGGCUCCGCAAUCGAGGGAGGAAGCAGCCGAAUUUGGCGCCGACACUUGCCGUCAGCCUUUCUCUCCACGUCUGGUGAUGCGACGUCUCCACGUCAGCUGUCACACAAAAUGGGAAGUUCGCGACCGCACCCAUUCAUUAAAUAUUUGUAGAUACUAUUAUCUAACACAACUAAAAUACUUUUAAUAAUAUAUAAAUACUAUUAGUAAUAUAAAUAUUUCUGUGCUACUAAAUUAUCUUUAAUGAUGCAGUUUUUAAAUCGACGUUCGGUUCUAUUAGAUUUGAUCUACACCGUUGAAAGUAUUUAAAAAUUAAAUUUUUUAAUUUUUCGAUAUUAUUUACCUAUCAAACGAGUAGUCUAAAAAAUAAACGGCUAAAAAAAAAAUCUCAUAAGAAAUAAUGAUAAAAGACUUGAAUUUAAGAUCAGAGAUGCUGAUCUUACUCUAAAUAGUAAAAAAAAAAAUUUCUAUAAAAAUUUCACCAAACUUUGAUUGUUUUAUACUGUUUAAUUCACAAACGCGUCAUAUCGACGAUUAAAAUUGUUAGUUUUGAGAUCUUUUGAUCACUAAUCAAAUAAUGUCGAAAAAUUAUGAAAUUUAGUUUUCAAAUACUUUCGAUAGUGUAAAUCAAGUCUAACGAAAUAAAUUGUCGAUUUGAAAAUCGCAUCAUUGAAAAUAAUUUGAUAAUACGAAGAACUCCGUACUACUAAUAGUGUAGCAGCUUAACUCUAUAAAUAAUAUAUAUUAUUAACUUUUCAGUCAUUUAAUGCUUAUAAUUUACUAUAAGCAAUGGUGCUAUUAUAAAUCUAAAGAAUAAAAAGUAUAUAAUAUAUAUUAUUUAUGUGCUAUUAUAAGUAUUAUUAUUAUAGGCGUACACAAUAUUUUUAGACUUUUUUAUUAUAUAUAGUGAGAAAAUUGAUAUAAAGUUAUUACAAGAAAAUCUAAGAAGCGCAAAUAUAAAUAAAAAUCAAGAAAUAAAUAAGUAAAUAAAAUAAUAAUUAACAAAAAUUUGUGUACAUUUUUUUAAAAAAAAUAAAAUAAAUACUAGUAUAUUUCGGAAGUAGGCAAAAUUCGCCGCCUAGUGGACCCCACUCCACUUGGCGGGUUUUCUUAUUUGCACUUUUGCAAGUCUAUCCCUACACAAUCAUCUAUUCGUGGUCAUGUGACAAAUAUUUUGAAAAAAAUACACAAAAUUAUUUAUCUGAACUAUAAAUUAUUUUAAAUUUUCUAUCUAAUAUUUUAAAAAUUUUAGUUUUACAAUUCAAUCUUUUCAAUUUAUUGAAUUUAAAUCAAUUAACAGCAGUUUAACUUUAAAAUUUAAAUAUUUUAUUUAUUUAUAAAAUUUAAUUAAAUUUAUUAAAAUAAAUAAUUAACUUAAAUUUGAGUCUCCUAAAAUUUGGAAUACCGACAAAAACUUUGCUACAAAAUGAUGGAUAUAUUUUUUGUGAUUGGUACGAUGUCAUUGCAUGCCAUGGAAUUAAACCCAUUGACAAUAAUUUUGUUUUAUUAGCAUCAGGUUAAAUUUCAUAUAGGUCCCUACAAAAAUAAUAAAUUAUAAAUAUUUUUUUAUAAAUUUUAAUUUUUAUAUAUUAUUUCUUCAAAAGUUCUAAUAUUUUCAAAUGUGUUCCUGUCAUUUGGAUCCUUUAAAAAAAUUAGUUAACCAUAGAUAAAAUACUUGAGCAUAAUUAGUUAAUGAGAUGAAUUGACCUUUUUACUCCUCUUUAAUUAAUAGUUGAAAUUUUUGAAGGAACAUUUGUAAUGAUAAAAAUGUCAUUUUACUUAUAAAAUAAAUUAUUUUGACGGUAACAAAUCAGAAGGACAUAUUUGAAAAUAUUAUAAUUUUUGUAAAAAAAAUAUAUAAAAGUUAAAUUUUGUAGAGAUAUAUUACAAUCGCUGUAUUUGCAGGGACAUACAGGAAAUUAAACCUGCAUCAAAUAAUUAUUAAAAUUACUAAUGCUGAUUUUUAAAAUUACUAAAAUGCCCCUGCAUCAAUUAAUGCACCAUGUCCUCUUUGAUGUAACAUGUUUUUCUUGUCGCUUUCUCAAGAGGCGUCCACACCCUUCCCUCUACACUCUUCAUUUUCCACUGCGAAAUUAUCGCGUGCACCUGGUGUAUUCAUGCAUCUUCUUAUGCACCGCAUCAAAUAUUUGUAGAUGAAUUAUCUUAAGAGCGGUUUGAUUUGUAUGAAAAUAAUGUCCUAAGUUUCAUAAUAUUUUACAUAUAUUGUUUUAAAAAUAUAAUAAAAAGUGUUCAUAUGGUUAAAACUAAUAUCAUUUUCUAGCUAAUUGAUUUUUUAUUUAAUAUAAUAUUAGAGACAGUUCUAAGUCUUCUCUGUUUGAGUUUAAUUUUCGUAUCGGUCAUUUUAUUAUUUUACUAUUUUUAUACUAUCUCUUCAGUUAGUGUACAUAAUAUAUUCAUUUUGAUAUCUAUUAUGCGCAUAGCAAAAAUGUUAAAGCUAAUUCGUAUAUUCUGUAGUUAAAUUUCAAUUUUAAAACUUCUAUUAUGACUUUUUUUUUCUUUUUUGGAGCAAUAUGUGAGAUAUACUUUCCACUCUUUGCAUGUAAUAAUAUCUCUUCUUUCACUCUAGAGAAAACUUCAAAUACCCUUCUUGUGGUUUCACUUUUUCUCAUUUUAGUACCCUGUGGUUUAAAGUGUAUCAAGUUAGUAUGCUAUGAUUAUGCACUUUUUUACUUUAGUACCUUGUGGUUUAAAAUGUAUCAAGUUUGUACUCUGUAGUUUCGCACUUUCUCACUUUAGUAUCCUAUAGUUUAAAAACCACAAGGUACUAAUUUAAUACAAAAAUAAAACCACAGAGUACUAACUUGAUAAACUUUAAACCACAGAAUACUAAAGUAAGAAAGUGCGAAACUACAGGGUACUAACUUGAUACACUUUAAAUCACAGAAUACUAAAAUAAAAAAGUACGAAAUCACAUAAGGAUUUUUUGAAGUUUUCCCUUCACUUUAUAACUCUCUCACCAAAGUAUCAACACCACGGCUCCCACUCGUUUAUAACGUUUUCGAGGGUGGAUAGCUUAUAUAAAUGUUAAUUUGGACAUAUCGACAAAGCAAAAAGGAACAAGAACACGUAAGUUAAAUAAAUAAAUAAAUCAGAGCAAUUGCGCGCACAAAAACUACUACACGUGUCGUGUGAUGAGACCUCUUGUACUGUUAAACGAGAAAAUAAAGAUAGAACAAUACUACUGGAACACUCUAAAGUGGGAUAUACAUCUUAAACCUAUUAUAUCUUAUGAUCAUUCUUGUCAUUUUAAAUUUUUAAAAAUUUUACUAAAAACAAAUUCCAUUUUUAUCAAGCUAGAAUUGCGAGUGUAAGAUAUACACUCCUUUUUUGGGUAUACAAGAAUUAUUUUUCAUAAAGAUAAAAAGUUACAUAAUUAUCUGAAUUACGAAACAUUUUGAUUGGACAAUUUAAUCAUUCAAAAUUUUGAUUAUAUUUUCUAAUGUUUUAAUUUAUUUGAUUUAAAUUAGCUUGUGAUAGAAAGUAAUUCGCAUAAACUUUAAAGACAAAAUAUUAUUAACCAACUUAAAUCAAACAAAUUGAAAAAAUUCUGUAGUAAAAUUAAAAUUUUAAAAGAUUGAAUAGUAUAUGCAAAAUAGUCUAUAAUUCAGAUAAGCUCUGUACAUUUCUACCUAAAAUAAAGGCACAAGUGAAAUAUAAUUACAUCAAUUGUUAUUCAAUUAUCACGACCAUCGCUAGCACACAAGUAGUAAAAGGCUUGAUAGUUGGUAGCUGAGAUUCCAAAUUCAAAGCACAACUACUUUGUAUUUUCAGUAAAAUUCAUAUCUUAAAAAAAAUAAACGAAGCACAUAAUAUGCUAUCUUUCUCUCACCGAAAAAAAAAAAAUUUUGAUCUAGUUGAAAAAAUUUUGAUUUUACUACCUUACCUUUUAACUUGUUUAAUUUGAGCCGGCUAAUGACUUCUCAACUUCAAAUUUAGAAAUGCGUUGUUUAUCUUUAAAAAUUUAAAUUCAUGUAACUAGAAAUUUAUUAAAAUAAUUUAAAUCAGAUAAUCUAAAAAAUAGAUGCUAAAAUUAACCGAAUAAAUAAAAGAAUUUAAGAUUAAAAAAAAAAGAUGACAAAUGAUGAUAAUCUGGCGCAUGAUGUGUACGGAGUCAAAUACUCCACGAGCAAAUCUUGGGGCGAAACUUGGGGAAGUUAAUUUACGUACGUAGUUCCAAAAAAGAAAAAAGAAAAAGGAAUAACUUUAUCAAAUGAUGUGAUACGCUCAACACAAAUUCAUUGCAUUGAAGUGGCUGAGCCAAACCUGGUCUCUUAUAUUGGAGAAAAGUCGUCGUUACAACGCGUGAACUGUGUUUUUAUUUUUAUUUUUAGUUUGAAAAGGCUCUAGAUAUAUUUUUAUUUUAAGGUCCUAAAAGUAAUUAUUAUUAUUAUUAUUAUCAUUAUUUAUUGAUUAGACGAGCUUAAUAGGCUUGCAGAAUUAGCAACCUCAGUUGGAUGAGGGGGAGCCACAUAGCAAAUUGUGCCCUCCAUUGAUCGAUCAGUUUUGUUCAUGAUAUGUAAUAUUAAUUUAGAUGGUAGAAAUACGAAAUUAUUAUAAAUUAGAAAGUUUUCUUAAUUUUAUAUUUUAUUAUGAGAAGGAUUAUUAGUAGUCUAUUAAUUAAUAAUAACAUAUAUAUUAAUUAGCUUUUAACAACCUCUCCACCAAAAUAAUUUGAUUAGUAAUAAAUUUAUUAUUGUAAAUAUAAAAUAUAAAAUAUUAUUUAAACAUUAUAAAUUUUGAACCAAAUGCUCACUAGCUAAUAGUAAUUUUAAAAACUACAUGAUAUGUGCUAUUGUGUUGGUGUGUUGGCAUAAUAGAUGGAGCACAUCAACAAAAAGAUAUAUAACUCAUAUAGUACGAAAAUCUCGGGAAAUAUUUGUCCCGGCAUUAUUGAGGUAUCUGCUAAUUAAUCAAUUUUUUUUAUAUUACAUUUACAUAUGCCCACAUAUUAAUUAAUACCCACAUAUUAAUAAAAUAUAAGAUAAUAUCAUAUAAUAUCCUACAAAAGUACUAUAUAUAAAUUAUAAACUAUAUAGAAUGGGCUAGUUUGAGAAGAUGCUAUUAACUAAAACAAACAAAUAAUAACAAUCCAAUCGACUACAUGCACGCUUCUAGAAUGAGAAAGAUAAGAAAAAUAUUAUUUGUACACUCUAAAUAUAAAUGUAAAUACAAUACAUGUUGAUCUCUAUUUGAAUGUAUAAAUAUUUAAUUCGGUAUAUUUUUGUAAUUUCUGAGAGAAGCUUAUAUAUUUCGUAAAUAAAGAGUGUUGAAAAAUAUCUAAAAUGAGAUAUUAUAUUCUUUCAUUUAUCUCGUAGAUAAAAUAUGUUAUUAUAUUAAAUUAUGAAUACAGAAUCUUUUAAGGUGCAAAAAUUUAACUACUUUUUCUAUAAUCACACGAGACAAAAGUUUUAUACCAAAUAAAUUAUUCUUUUCUUUAUCUCCAAGUAUAGAUGCAAAUGUAAAUUCAUUCAUUUAACAUAAACGGGUCAUCCUCGAUCCGGCCGCAGGAAACUGCCACUGGAAUAUCAAACUCAAUUAACACACGCAGCAACUGCACAACACUACACAAACACUCCUGUCUUCAAAAAUUUUAGCAUCAAACAAACAAAUUCAAAAGCUGAGGUCCUCCUCCUCCUCCAUUUUCACUCACAGUCACCGAGCCCUCGGAGUUCACCGACGGCGUCCGCAGCCUCUUCCUCUGCCGCCUCUUCUCCUCUUUCGCGGGCGGCGCCGGCAACAUCGGCGUGAGAUAGAGAUCCAAGUCGCAUUGCCGUGACGACGACGUCUCUUCGAUCCCUACGGCGGCGGCGAGAUCCUCUGGAAGUGGGCGGAUGGACUCGCCGCGGAGGACGGCGUGGACGGCGGCCUGGCACAGAUGCCAGUUGCCGGCCCAGAGCAGCCCCACGGCGCCGCCGACGGGACUGAUCGUGCGCCCGCAGGCUUCGAACAAAAGCGAUCGAAAUAGCGCUACAAUUUUUAUUAUUGACAGAACAGAAAGAAUCAAAAUAUAGUAUAAUACAGUUAGCCACAGCGACCCUGCUGUGUAGGCAUCAAAAUUUAAUUCAACAAUACUAAUAUCAUAAAAAAUAAAAAAAAAUAAAAUUUAAGGAUAAAUAAUUAUGAAACUAUGGAAUAUGAAAAAUAAUACUUUUAGCCGCUGACACAGACAUAGAUAUAGAUACGUACCGGGCCGAUGAGAGAGGGGGACGGCGGAGAGAAAGGCGGAGAGACCGGCGCGGCCGAAGAACUUGGCGACGAAGAGCGUGGCGUGGCCCUGCGCCUCCGCCCCGUCGACCCACCCCUCCAAGCAAACCCUAAGCAAGCAACCCUCUCCGCACCCCUUCCGUAGUACCCGGCACCCGUUGCAGCUCAUCAUACAUAUAUGUAUAUAUAUAUAUAUAUAUAUAUUCAAAAUCAAGAAUGAUCACUAACUUGAGGAUUAGUAGUCAAUCCAUAAGUAACAUAUUAUAAUAAAAUAAUUUAUAGUCAAGAGUCCCUUGCGGAGUAAAUUGCACUACUACCUCCUGAACUUUUGGCGAGUUUCACUUAACCUCCCAAACUCUUAAAAUAUACAUCUAACACCCUAAACUCUAAUAUUUCAUUCGUUUUACCCCUUUCGUCAGUUUCCGGUUAACGGAGCUUGACAGAAAACUGACGGAAGGGGUAAUAUGAACGAAAUAUUAUAGUUUAGGGGGUUAGAUGUCCAUUUUAGNUUUCCGCGCUGGGUCCCCGCCCUACCCCACAGUAGAUUUCUGCGUGCACCAGGUGUAUCCACGUAACAAGUAUAACUCAUGGACCACACUCUACGGUAAGUAUAUUUGUACAUUUAAUUUUACUAUGUAAGAAAAUUAUAAAUUAUGGAAAAAGCUACUAUCUUGGUGUUAAUUAAGUAGCUGUUUGGCGCAGAUGAAUUUCGAGCACAAGUGUUAAUUAUUUGAGCAUGACUACUCAAAAAAAAUAAUAAUAAAAUAAAAUUAUUUAUGUAGUUUUUGCUGUAGCAAAGGUGGAAUAAGAGAAUUGAAGAUUUUAUUUUUGCGAGUUAGAAACUCUGGAAAACUUUUGCUUUUUGAAUAUAUAACAAAUGUGCAAAUUUGCUAGAGACCUAACUGAUCUAAUUUUACCUCUGAAAUAUAAAAAAUAAUCGCUAAUAUUAAUAAAUUUAGCAGCAAAAUAGGUGUCCCGCAUUUAUGAUAUUUAAAAUAUAGUCAUUUCGUCAUCAGAAAUUGCAUUUAGGAGGUCUAAAUUCUCGUAUUAAGGCUUGUAAAGCAGGUUUUUAAGGAUGUGGUGCACUGUGCACCGGGUUCAUGAAAAAUUGUCGCCAUCCCACCCUACGAUUCCUUUGGAGGCGUACCCAUCGACGCGCCUCGGUUCUUAUCUUGUCCCAAACUUUUUCUAUUAUUUUAUUCUAUAUCAGGGUUUCUUGCAAGUAGGUCCGUGGGUAUAUUUUAAUUGCGAACUAGUCACUUUUUUAGCUUUUGCAAUUGCCCCUUCUGAUUAUGGUGAUAACACAUAGGUUGAGAACCAUUUUGUGGUAAAAAUUUUGACAUUAAAAAGAGAAUAUAUAGCGACCACUGUUUAGUGCAAUUAGUUGGUACCUGAUAGAUAACUAACAGGUUGGGGUUUGAUACACUGCAUGACUCUUUACUAAAGGCGCGAUUUAGCUUUGGCUUGAAAAAAUUUUAUAAAAAAGUUUAGUGGGGAGCUUUUCAUCGAUACCUCAUUAAGAAGCCUCCGAUCCACUGUCAUGUGCCAGUUUUAUUGUCAUUAUUCAAGAAUUAUAAUAUUUUUUUCUAGAGUUUUGGAAUUAAAAAAUGUCCAUAAAUUUUUGGAUGGAAGUGAAACUAAUAGGUGGUAGAGUCAUGGACGUUCCAACAAGAUGUCGUUGGGAAACUCACUACUGAGAAAAAGGAAAAAAAACAAAAAACAAAAAACGAAAGAGAUAAAAUAGGUAUUAAUACAAAAAAAAUUCUCUACUUGUAAAAGACUCGAUAGAUUAGAUAUAAUAGUUAAAAAUUUGGAUGAGAUUUAAUAUAAUACCAUAGAUAACAAGUUGGUCCUUGCAUUAUUAGAGAACAUGAUGUUUGGGGAGUCUCAAAUUGCGCCAUACAAUUUGAUAAUAGCAUAUAUCUUGGUCUUAUCAUGUUCCUUUCUUUCUUUUCUUUGAAUCGAAUUUUUGAUUUAUUCCAAAAACCUAUCUUGAAAACGUACACAAAUGUCUAUUAUGAAAGAGUUACUCACUUCAUUCUUGGUUUUAUUCCCAGUUAUUUUAUUUUACUUUAUUACUUUUUAAGUGUUAACUAGGUUUAAGUUAGUUUGAAUAUUAGUACGGCCGAAGCUAGUUUUCCGGUUGUCAAAGCAAAUACAUUAAACCUGAUCAUGAUUUAGCUUUCUCUUUUUUAGAUCUGGCAAUAUCAUAAUUUGCUUAUUCCUUGAAUACAAUGGUAAAAGAGUAUGUAUGAUAAGAAAGUGGGGUGAAAAACUAUCUCAUUUAUUCCUAUAAAAGAUAACACGUUAGCAAAUAGUGGUUGUAGCUAGUAACUUCUUACACUGUUGAGCUUAGAUGUACAAGCAUAAUUGAGGAAUAGUCUUAAUAAAAGGAGGUCUGUAUUCAUUGAUUUUAACAUAAAGAAGGAAGAAGAUUUAUUAUUUGUUGAGAGGAGGAGAAUUGGUUGGAGACAACAAUAUAUUCUCCGUAGCAACUUGAAUGCGGAAGAGGGUUCCAUCAAUAAUUGCAAUCCCCUGCUUAACCCUUGCUGCAGUGGUGACGUUUUUAUUCACGAACAGGGAUGCUUUGUUUUGAGCCUAUCUUAACCAGUGACACAGAAAAAAAAAAAAAAAAAAAAAAAAAAAAAAAAGAAAAAAAAAAAGAAGCCUGUUUGGACUUUGGAAUGUUUUGAUUCCUAAGUUUCUCAUCAAUAGAUGUCCAGUGAUAACUCACGCGCUGUAAGUUCAAAAUGAGAUUGCAAUAAUCAUGAUUUUUCUGAAUAACGCAUUUACCUACGAGGUGAUUGAGGUCGUAUCAGUCAUAACUCCGAAUGCAACAAUUAUUACGGCGCGAAAAAAGAAAUUGUACCGAAUAAAAUAUUCAGACUUCCUAAUAAGCAACAAUUUAGUCCCGAACCUUCUCACUCAGACGCUUUAGUUUGUAAACUUUCUGGCGUACUUUGAUACCAUCUAUGGAAGCUAAAAAGACACUGACAAAAUGCGACCUGUUUGCAGAAACUACCUUUCCAGUUCCUAUUUGAGAUGCAGUAAACAACAAUCUCAGGUCGAAAAUCCGCAUCAAACUGGACUGGGUAUUGCGAAUUACCGGAACCGUAUUGAGAGGGUUUUUGUUACUCUGUGAUUGGGUUUUAGACCUGUGAACAAUAAUACACAGGCCUAAAGCCUUAUAUUCGGAAAAUCGGCGUAGGUGGGCCGAAAAAGUUGAGUUUCUUAGCAAUGAUUGACACCACAUUUGGAUGGAGAGAAAAGAAGAGGAGAAAAGAGAGUUAGGAUAAAACAUCACUUUCAAUCAUUUGAAUUAAAACCAGAGAGGAGAAGCAAUGAAAACCAGAGAAAACAAUCAAUUUCUUUUGGCUCGAAAAAGUAGAGGGAACAGAAGAGAUAAAAUUAGCGUUAUUCGCAAUUAUUUUGGUCUAUAAGUAGCAAGCCUCAUACCGCAAAACAAGUUUUGUGAUUCCACUUCAUGAGUCAUUUUGGACUUGAAUUCAUCAGAAGUUUUCAAAGUACUCAUGCUUAUUGAUUCAGUUUUUAACUGAACCAGGUUAACCCUACCUUGCAAAAUCUGAAUAAAUAAGCUUAACAUAGAAGUUAAUACUGCCUUCCUUACCCCUUUUUCAGGGCAAUUCUCAAAAAAGGAAUGAUUUGUUACCUAUAACAGUGAGAUCGGCAGGAAGAAAUUCAUAUCAAUCGUCAUAUGGUGAAGAAGAUUAAAUUAACCAUGGCCCGAAAUGCAGCUUCCGAUUCAAUAAUAUAUCGAAAGAGUGCGAUGAUGUGGCAGAGACGCAUUUUGAACGCCACAUGACCAGAGCCAAAGAUCGAUUUCUAUACUAAGCACCUGUAAAACAAGUAGAUAGCAGCAUUAAUUAAAUGACCUUUAGAUGAAUCGCAAUAGACAUCAGAGCUUUUGUCAUUUCGUUACUGCUGCAAUAAAUACAUAAUGAACUAAAUUAGCUUGACCUAUGUGUCCCGAUCCUGUCAGAGUGGCUUUCAAUAAACCUUUUUUUUUAUUGUCAUUUUUUAUCUUACUGCAGGAAAUAAGACCUAGAGAAGAAGAUCACAAAAAUAAUUUACUUAAAGCUAUAUUAGGUUAAUAAGUAGGAUAGCAGUUUCUCUUGAGCAUCAAACUCAUACAAAUGAAAAAAAUUAGAAGUAAAGGAAAAAAAAAACAUAUUGAAGUAUAAUUAAUGAACUAAUUUGAUGUAAGAAUUGAGGGUAAAUAUCUUAGUUGUUAAAAAGAAAACAUCCUCAAGAGUCUUAUGUCGAUCUCUCAAUAAUGCUAUUUUUUUCAGCAGUAUACUUUGUAAAUUACAAGACAAUAAAAAGGCAUCUAUUAGCCUACACAUGAUGGGGAACGACCAUAAAUCUUUAGUAAGGAUUUCCUGUAUGAUCAACAUUAAAUUGAUAUUAACAGUCAACUUUAUAGACUAUGAUGAUAGACGGAUGCUGUUCAUCUUAUUACUUCUUGCAGCAUUAGUUUCUAGCAUAAUUUCAAUAAAAAUGUUUACGGAAAACUAUUUAUAGAUGAAGAGCAACAGGUGCAGGAGAGGGCGCCAGUUUUAUUCCUAUCACUCGAUCUUCUUUAGUGGGGCUCAGUGAAAACUAGUGAGAAGUUUUGAUAAACAAAUCAUUUAUUAGUCAACUAAAUUUCCUCUGUCACAUGGCAUGCAAAUAUUUCGACAGCGUCAAAAAAAAAAGUUCAAAUAUUACAGGCUUAUCUGAUUACCAACCAUCCUGUUCCUAACACCUAAUAUAAAAAAUGCUGCAAAUGAGUUUUCUCUCUUAUCUCUUGAAUAAAAAAUUUCUUUGCCUUGUAGUGUUGUAGUUUAUCUUCACAACACUUUUUUAUUCCUAAGCAAAGUUAAAGCGCAGUGCUUUAAACAAGUGAAUUGGCAAUUUCUUCUAUCAAAAUACUUUAACCAUAUCCGGAACAAACUACCUAAUGAAAUAAAUUUACCAAAAAAUAAGAGAAUGGAAAAAUAGGUCAGUGAUGAAAGUUUGACAAGAGAAAGGAAAAGGUGUAUACCUGUUUCCCAAAUUUUCUUUUGAUGAGUUCUCUCAUUUUCUCCACAGCAUAAAUAGAACAAGCACGCAACUCAGCUUCCUCCUCACUACCAGCAACUAUCUCUUUAUUCGAAUCGAUGGAACUAGAUAAGGCUGAACUGUACUUUAAUAUGCCAAGCUGUCUGAGUACUGCGGGGACAAUAUAGUCCGCAAAUAUUGUCACAGAUUUUAUGUCAUAGAAAUCUCCAUAUCCUCGACCCUUGAAAGCACCCCACAGGUCAGCAACAAAGAUCUGUGCCCUUUUGUACAGAAAAAUCUGAUGUCCCUUGUAAAGAGAAUGAUCUCGAAAACCUAUUUAAGGCAAUUAGAAGUUGAAACAAUACUUGAAGACACAACAAUUUUAAGAUAUGCAUACAAUAGCAAAAGGUAACUUAGAGUGAAAGUAGACAAAUAAAGCCUUAAGUGCAUGUCAAUCAAGUUAGAGGCUUAGAUAUGAUAAUGAAAAUUUAUGAAAAUAUAAAUAACUAAAUAAUAGAUUUAAAUGAAAGCUCGCUGUCAAGAAUUGGUACAAGGAAUAGGUAUAAGAUAAUAAUUAAGACAGCACACACAAAUUACAAACUGAAGUCUUCUGCAUAAACAGGAAAAGGAGUUUAUUUCAUGACAUCCCCCAAUCACAAUAUUCUUAUAAUGUGUUGAGAGUUGGGGUUUCUUCAGAAAAAAAAAUCCAUGCUAGUGCUAUAGGUUAAUACACAUGAAUAUGUUCAUCUUAAGCUCAUAGUUUACUGACAAGAAGCUAAUAAAUUGCCAAGGAAACCAGCUUCCUGGUCAUCGCAAUGCAUAUCUCAGAUAGAGCUAUUUUAUAACAGUAUCUUUUUUAAUCUGUUUAUCUGAAAAAGACAACUGUAGAUUGUGUUGUUAAACAUGCAAUAUCUUAAAAUAGUACAGUUAAUACUACAAAAAAUAAAAUAAAAUACUGUGCAACAGAUUAGGCUAGAAAAUAUUUGAUAGUGCAUGGAUCCAUGUAUCGUGUUCCAUUGAGUUCAUUAUGUCCUCAGGCUAUCAGGACAUGGUUAUUAUCAAUGCUCAUGUUCACUAAGAACCAGUUUGCUGCUUAAAUAUCUUUCAUGAUAUGAUAAACCACCUUGUAAGUGGAAUCCAUAUCCUGAAGAUGCUGAAUUGUUAAAGACUCCACAAUUGCUAAAUCAAACCCAUUAUAUUGUCUCUCUUGAAUGCUAGAAUACCUAAUCUGACAAUCUCUCUUGUUUAUUAACGGCUAUGUUUUAAUUAGUUACCUAGAGGCCAUAAGUUAAACAAUUAAAUAUCCUUGCUAAAAUAAGACACCAACCAAAAGAAGAUAAGAGACCUAUCGUCUUGUCUAAAUGAAUAGACAUUAACGACUCGCAUGCACACCAAAGCAAAAGAUAACUGCCAUUAAGAGAAAGCAUACCAGGAAAGUGACGUGCAAUAAGUGCAACUAGCGAUUCAGCAGAAUUUCCACAGGAUCUUACGAGAUUAACUGCCUGUCCUCCAAAGCUUCUCUCAAGUUCCAGACCAACCUUAAUUGAUCAAAGCAUAAAACUUGAUAAAAAAUGCAACUCUUUUUAGAAUCUCCACCAUUUGUAAGCACUACACACUAGUACUUAGCUUUUAUAGAUGAGUAGUAUAUUCGGCAAACAUAACGUGAACAGGUCUAAAGCAUAAUAUGUGAACCAAGAGAAAGAAAAGGAUGUAAGAUGAGACAAUCUGCCAAACAAUCUGUCAAGUGAGCAAACACUACCUCAUGCAGCAGGCGCACUCUUUCCUCCUCAAUCGGCAGACGGCGUGGCCAUUUCAGAAGCUCACGUAACUGGGGACCUGAAUUUCCCACAAAUUGAGUUCAAGUUGUAUCAAUUUUUUGAUGAUGAACUGAACCCAUUUGAUGAUUUGCUAAUGGAUAAUUUCAUAACGCAUGAACAAUCCCAGGUAUAAAGGGAAAAAACCAACAAUCUAAUUUACAAGAAUAAGAAUAGAAAGAAGCAAUGCUCAAAGGGGUUAUAAGUUACCAGUAUAAUUCUGAAGACGAUCUGCAUCAAGAGCAGAUUUGUCAUUCUCCAGAGCAUCCUUAAGUCCCAAAGCCAAAUGGUCAUAGCUUAGGUCUUUGUCUGUUCAAGAUAUGUAAAUGCAAGAAAUAAAAGCCAAUCAACUUCACAAUAAUGAAAAAUAAAACAUUUCGUCAUGCAAAAAGAUGCAAGAGAUGUAUUUCAAACAUAAUUCAACCGACUGUUGUCCAUUCUUCUGAAUGAAGGUAAUGCCAGUGAAGUUAAUGCCAGGACUUGAUAGAAUUUCUAGAUGAAGUUAGUCAUCGAUUAAAACAACUUAUAGUUUAGUGAUCAAAGUAUAAUUUAUUUUACAAUUUGUUGACUUCUAACAUAAUUGCCCCCCCNCCCCCCCCCCAAACAAAAGUAUCAAAACAAACUGGAAUUAAAAUUUGAACAUGAAGAAAGUAACGUAAUCGCUGUUCCAAAACACAUUAAAUGAAGAGCACCAUAAGGCUACUCUGUUUUGAGCUGCAUAAGUAAAAACAAGAACACGCUAUUACAAUUGAAUAUGCUCCUAAAGACAGGCAAAUUUCCCUCUUUUUUCCUUUGAGAAGAUAAAUGAUUGAGUAAUUUCAGUUCCAGCAACUUGAAAGCUACAAUACUUCCUUAAAAACUGUCAAAAAAUUACUAGCUUAAUAAGAAAUGUCUAGAAAAUUCAUACCUGGCCAAAAACAAAAGUUUAAUGCAUCCAAAACAAGUAGAUACUGAACAGUAAGAGGCCCAUUAUCAAAGUAGUGAAUCCCUUCAAAAUUCCAUUCCACUUUCGGAAUCGCACCCUGAAUACCAUCCACUACUUUCUCAAUUUCUGCGAAUUGAAGCAAAAAAAAGAGAAAAAAGCCCUCCUUUUAAGCAAACACACAUAACAAAGAAGUAAAAGCAGCAACUUUUUACAAUAUCUAACAAUGUAAAGAACCAUUAAAUUACACAGAUAAGGCAAAACAAACCCUGGGUCAUCAAACCAAUCCACUGUAUCGAAACCAACCGUAUCCCUUAUCGCAAGUCCCAAAUCACAAAACAGGCUAACAAUAACAGCAGAUAAAGCCAUAGAGCUAUGCGAUAUCACCAAACUGGGACGAGCGAGCGAGUAUUGCAUUCUAAAACCCUAGCCCCAGGAUUUGAAUCUGAAUCGAACUACCCUACAGGAGAAGGGAGGAGACGAGGGUUUGUAGAGGGGUUACCCAGCGAAUCCACCUUCACGUGAGCCGCGCGCGUCGCCACCCACGCCGUCGUCGUCCUCACCUCCUCCAUUGCGCUCUCCCUCUCUCUCCGUGUCUCUCUAGGGUUCUCUCUCUCUUCGUCCUCUCUCUAGGGUUCUCCCUAUCCUCGUCGUUGUGGCCAAUAGGAGAUGCGUUUUAUCACGUCCCGUGCCCCUCGGAGCUUUCCCGCUUAGGGAUUGAACACGAGGAGCGCAGCCCAUGGACCGAGGAAGUAUUCCCUGCACCGGGUUUAGUAGUCCAUUUUGUACACCGCCCCCCUAACUUUCCAUAGUGAGAGGCUUGAGAACCAAUAUUUAAUUCAGUUACUGUCCGUGCCUAGCGCAAUUGCGCAAAUGUCAAAUAACUUGGUAGCUUAUAUCCGAGGUCGCAAAUUCGAAUCCUAAUUGAUUUACUUUUUCAACUUAGUUUAUUUCUAAAUAAAAUAAACAAGCGGGUAACAUGAUACCUAUCUCUCAAAAAAUAUAUUUAAUUCAGUCAUGAGUCCUAAAAAUACUUACAAGCAUAAAACGUAUAGAACUUAACUAAAUUAUGAAGUAUUUUAAAUUUAUUAUUUAAUAUUUCAAAUUGUUUAAUUUUAGUCAUUAAACGACAUUUUUACUUUAUUUAAUCUAAUUUUUUAAUUUAAUGAUUUAUAAUUGCGAAAAAUGUAUGUGUUAUAUGUGCUAACUAAUCUAUGUAUUCAAAUUUUAAAGUCAAAAUUUUAUUGACUAACUCAAAUCAAACAAAUUGAUAGAUUUUUUAAAAGAUUAGAUAGCAGAUUCCAAAUGGUUUAUAGUUCAGAUAAAUUCCAUAUUUAUAUCAAAACUAUAUAUCAAAAAUUAUAAUUUUGACUAGUCCUUCAAAAUAUUAUUUUUAUAUAGUAUUGAUGUUUUAUAAUACAAUACAGAAAAAUUUAAUUGGUUGAUGCACGCGUACUAAAAAAAUUAUAUAAAAUGCUAAAAAAUCAACACUAUAUGAAACUAACUUUUGAGGAUCUAAAAAUUUUUAAAAAGUAAAUAAUAACUCUCUCUCCGUCGUUCUAGGUAAAAGAUUUUUCAAAAUCUAUCUUACAUUUUAUAUAUUUGUUUUAUGCUGCAAAUUAUAUUAGUCAGAUUAGAUUUUGAUUUUAAAAAAAUGAUUAUCAAAUUAUAAAGUAUGGUGCAUAGUGUAUAUUACUCCGGGUGUAGCUAAUAGUUUUCGCUUGUCGACUGAGCAGAAAUUACUGAAAUACCCCUCUUCUUUGUCUUAAGGACUCGGGGAUAUCCUUCGAGUCUUGUCGUGUAAUUGGCCGUUUGAUCUCGUCCGACGCUGCAAUAUGGACCGUCGGAUUAGUGGGGCCCGCGUGUACGAGGAGGUCGCUUUCGUUGAUUUUGCUGGAUUGUGCGGACCAUGUUUUCCACAUCUGGUUUGUAGGCAAAGAUUUCUCAUAUCUUUUUCCAGACACAUGGGGAUAGAUGCAGAAACUUUUUUUUUUUUUUUUUUGAUUGAGAGAUAGGUAACACGCUAUCCAUUUCGUUUAUUUCAUUUAGAAAAUUUAGCUGAAAAUGUGAAUCAAAUAAGAUUUGAACUUGAGUCUCGGAUACUAGCCACCAAACCUUUUUGUCACUUGCUUUAGAGACAGUCGGUAUGCAGAAAUAAUUAUUAAUAAUUAUAAAAAAAUACUUAUUUUAGGUAAAGAUCUGUUUGUCUCAUCAACAUAAAAUCGUAAAAAAAAACAAAAUCUUUUAUUUAAAACUUUUGGUGAAUUUUUUUUUGCACGUUUUAUAAUAUUUGGUUUGUAGAAAAAAAAAAAAAAAAAAAAAAAAAAACAUAAGUUUCCAUCAAUAUUUAUUUGGUUUCGGGGAAAAAAAUGAAUUAAAAAAAUUUUGUUUUUUUUUACGAUUUUACUUUUUAUUUUUCAUCGAAAAUUAACGGAAAACGAAAACUUCAGUUUUUUCUUAAAUCUGUAAAAAUACUUUUAUGUCGGACCAAACAAGCAGAAAAAUAAUUUUCAUACCAAAAAAUAAUUUUUUGUUUCAUUUUUUGCAGUACCAAACACCCCUUAAUUAAACUUGUGCAGAACUAGUGUAAACUAUAAAUUAUUUAAAUUAGUUAUCUAAUCUUUCAAAAUUUUAAUUUUGUUAUCUAAUUUUUAAAUUUCUUUGAUUUAAAUCAGUCAAUGAUAUUUCAUCUUCAAAAUUUGAAUACUGUGCUUAUUGUUCCAGAUGUAGUUCGUAAAUUCCAUGCAACGUUCGUAAUUCUAAAUUUAUUAAAAUAAUUAAUUAGCUUAAUUUUUGAAGUUACAAUACCGUGGGUUGAUUCAGAUUAAGACGGUAGGCUUGAAUAUCAAAUGUACAGAUUCGGGGGUAAAUCUUGCAGAUACAGAAACUGUGGUAACGGUUCGAGUAUAAUUUUUUAUCAUACAGCUAGACCAAACAGAUUACUAAAGAUCAGAGUAUGAAUAUAGAUAUGCUUUGAAUCUUUUUGUCAAGGUUUUUUUUUUUUUUUUUGAGAGAUAGGUAGCACGCUAUCCGCUUCGUUUAUUUCAUUAGAAAUAAACUUAGCUGAAAAUAUGAAUCAACUAGGAUUCAAACUUGGGAUCUCGGGUACCAACCACCAAGUCCUUUGCCACUUACUCCAGGGACGGUUGGUAUCUUUUUGUCAAGGUUAAUAGAAGAUUAGCCACCACCUUGGAAUAUUUGGAAGAGAGUUUGUGGAAAAAAAUGUUGUUUUCACAAUCUGCUACUACUCACUUGGACCAAACUCCUCCGGUGGUGGGUUGUUCAUGUAACGCUCCCAAUAGUUCCACAUCGGAUGGAACACUGAUUUCGAUUAGUUUAUAUGAGAUUUACACGCUAGCAAUAAUAAUUAGAUUUAAGUAUUUUGGACUGGUGAUUUGAGCCCAACGAAUUAUUGUUGCUAACCGGUCAGGUCGUUACAGUUCAACAUUAGAUUAGUCUCGAAGUGUUAUAUUUUCAUUUCCUACUUAAAUGACCUUCUUUGCAUUUUUAACUGACUAAUAUUUUAUUUUUAUUUUUUUUAUUUUAUUUUCUUCUUUAAGCUAGUAGAAGUUCGCACGCAAUGCACGCUUUACAUAAGUAUGGCUUAUUUAUUAGUUGACAAAUUAAUAAUUGAAGGAUGAAAUUGGAUAAAGGUAUUUUUAAGUAGUAUAGAUAUAUUUUGGGGAUGGAAGGGCCUUUUUUUUAAAAAAAAAUGACAGAUUUAAAACUCCUAUACGUUCUUUUAUAUUAGAUAAAGAACUGUUCAAUAAUUAUGAAAUUAAAUGCGAAAAAACUUGCGAAUUGUACUUAACACACUCGGUUAUAAAAUUUUAGGCUAUGUUCGAACUAGCAAAGAGGUUGCAUUACUUGUAGCGAAAACUACGAUAAGAUAGCACUACUCUAUUUAUUUCUUUUCGUAGAUAAUACUACGUUUUGCAUACUUCAACGAAUCAAUUAUGUUAUAUUUUCUAAAAGUUUCACUAAAAUGCACAAAAAUAUAUCUCAAUAGAAUUGAGCUCCCAUUCUUUUAAAAGUACCAAAUUAUUAGUAGUUGUAGAUUUUAGUCCAUGAAUUAAGGGAUAUACGGUUAUAUUGAUGAUAGUCUUUUAGGAUUGAAUGGGCGGUCACUCAGUUGAAUAGUAUGAUCUAACGGAUAAAUAUGAUCAAGUGGAUAGGUCUAACUGCGAAAAACUUACAAGCAUCAAAUAUUUUGUGCUUUUGAAAGCACUAUAAUUGAACUCUGUCUCUACAUACUUUUGCUUUAAUUUUAUUUUAUUUAUUAGUAUUAAAUAAGUCUCAAUGUAAAAAGAAUUCUUAAAUAAUAGAUACCCAAAGUCUCAAAUUUAAAGUCUAAUUAAUUACUAUCUUUUUCACGGCAGCAAUUAGCGACUCGGACUUCCAUUUUGGGGCCCGUGUUGGACCCACGAAGCUAGAGAAUUAAUGGUUUCACAAGUUAUCAAACGCUUCAAAUUGAAAUGAUUGCAAAAUUAAUUGACAUUGCAUUUUUUAAGUCCACCAAUCACUUCGCAACAUGUGUAUUAGAGUCAUCCGUGUAGUAACUGCUGCUUUUUGAUUAGUUGGUAAACCAAAGUAAAAUUUAAAUUAACUCCUUUUCUCCGUUCCCACUCUUAUGAUAAUCAAACGCUUCACACCUACGCGCAUACGAGAAAACAACACAAUCAAAGAAUGAGUAGUUUACAUUCCAUUCCCAUGUACACAUCAAAAUCCUUAAAGCAAAAAAUAAUAAUAAUAAUAAUAGCAAACUAAUACUGUAUAUAUAUUAUGUAUGAUUGUUUAUUUUUUCACAGUACGUAAGCGAAGAGUAGUGUGAAAACAAAAUUAAGCUUCAACCUACUCCCCGAGCUCCAGAGGCGGGGGCAGGUUCAGAUCGAAGCCUCUAACGCUCGCGCUCGUCGACGCCUCCGAUGUCGCCUCCGACGCCGCACCGCUCGCGGCCUGGCCGCGCGCCCGCCGCCGCCGUCGUAGCAACGCUUGCCCUCAGCCCUGCCCGAGGAACGAUUCGACAGAGCGAGCACCGGGUGGGUCCCGACCUCCCCCGCCCCGGCGCCGGCAGCGCGGCGGAGCGAAGUAGAUGGCUUUCCGUUGGCUGUCUUGUGGCGCCGGGGCCUGUAGGACCGAACACCUUCCCGCACACGAGCACUCGUGCGACUGCUUGGAUGAUGAGGCGCGGUGGAGUCCGCCGCUCGAUCCAUCUCCCGCCGCCGGCCCGCGCCUGCUGCGAGCAUGACGAGGCAAGGGCGAGUACUUCGCCUCGGGCGCCGCGGCGGCGGAGUGGCGGCGGCGGCGGCGGAGGCGCCGCGCCUCGGCGGGGUGCGGGGGCGCUUUGGUCUCCAGAGCGUCGAGAGCCAUCGGAUGCGAUCGGCGUUCGGAAACGGACGGGGGAGAUCGAGUGUGGAGAGGGAGGGAGGUUUAUAGCUUGGGGAGCAAGAAGAGAGUUUUGGAGAGCUCGAUCUCUCGCGCUGUACAUGUAUAAUAAUAACAAUAUAGAGCAAGGGGUGGGAGUGGCGGAGGCGGUUAGGAAGCGGGUCGAGGAUUGUUUCGUAGGGCCGGAUGUACGCGAGUAAUGUCCCACUGGGUGCGUGGCAGGUCGUGGCUGGUUCCUGCAUUCUGAUUUUGGAAGAUACACGGAUACUCGACGCACCAUCCUGGCGUCUCAAAUCUUCCAGCGAAAUUCCGCACGUACGGGCGCGUGGCCCAAUGAAACGACGAAAGGCGCAGUCGCAUGGGAUGUCGCAAGAUGGCGGGCCACCACAUGAGAACAAAAAUUGGCCCACACGCGCGAACCUCGAUCGAUCUGUAAACUCGCAAAUCACACGAUCAUCCGAAUAUUCCUAUUUUUAACCUUGUCGAUCGUCCUUGUUUCUUCCACUCUUAGUCUCUGUUAAUUCUAUCGUAUUUAUUGGUUAGGUUCCAAUCUAUUGUGGGAUAUUAAUACGCUGAUUAACUCUCUGAUGUCCUGUUUUCUGGAAAAUCAUUGGUUCUAAAACUAUUUAGUCUCUUAUAUAUGCUUAACUCUCUUAAUCUUUUGGGUCUAAUUAUUGCUUAAAAUGUUAUAGUCAGUUAAAAAGUUUAAUUCUGUUCUAUCUCUUAUAUAGAACUAUUCUAUAUACCGGGACGUCGUAGUUAGUCUCAGAGCCAACUAUCAGCUACAAAUGUGAGAUGAGUCUCGACCGAGUCAGAAUUAUACAGCGAGCGACUCUCUAACUGAUGAUUGUUGUUUUGGUAGAGCACGGCUUUCCACAAGGUUGGCUAAGAUUAUCGAGACAAGUCUCAUAUCGUCUGAUACUUGUAAAUGUAUCUGAGCCUGACGAAGAUGUCAUGCCUUAUAGUGAAAAAAAAUAUGACAUCUCAAGACUUGAAUUAGUCCUAUAUAUAAAAUAUAAUAUUGUUAAAUCUAUUAACAUGGGUAUAGCAUUUUAGGCGGUUGUUAGAUUUAAAAGGUUAAAAAAGUUAAGCGUGUUAGAAUUAUAGUAGUCUUAGUAUGAGUGACUCCUAGAAAGCUGGACAUUACAAACUCAAAAGCCGCUAUUAUAAAUUGUAUGUAUAUUAUAAUUAAUAAUUGAAGUCCUCAAUUUUAUGUAUGAGUCAUUAGCUAGCUAAGAAUUAUAAAAGUUUGUACUUACAUAGGAACUUUCUAAACCAUUUUGAAAAUUAUUUUUGAGCCACCUACAAGCUAACACGUGCAUUAUCAAUAGCAAUGCUGAUUUUAUUUAACUAAGUUUUUGUAAAAUACUCAUUCAUUUUCAAUUUAUUUUACGCAAGAAGUAGAGGGACCAAAUUGCAAUAUUAAAAUGUGAAGGGACCACCGAUACAAUUUCCUGGGACACGACGACCUGUGUAGUUAAUACACGUGUUUGGGUUGUAAAGAGUGGUACGACACAGGUUGUAGGGAAGUCGAUGGCGCGGGACGAGAGUGGGUCAACACGUGUGAGGAGUGAGUGAGUGAGUCGGUCGUAGGUCAACGCAGUGCUAAACCAGUUGCAACGACCAUGAUAAGCUAUCGCCUGAUCCCGGUGUAUCCUUUUGUCUCGUGCACCGUAUACGUUUAUUUGAUUGAUCAAUAUCAUGAAUCAAAAUCCAAUUCAAUAGAGCCUUUACUAAUCCUCUAAAUAGCCUAUGAUAAAAAAUAAAAAAAAUCAAUGAUUUACAAAUGUGUUAACUUUUAUUCUGCAUUCUAUUCUUUUAAAUUAAACAUGAUGCUCCCUAAACUUUUAUACAUUCACUAUAUUGAUUCAUUUUUAAAAAUCUCAAUUAAUUUUACUUCAAGAAAAUAUCUAAAUGUCAAAUAAAUGAUUUUUGAAUUCAUGUGUAAAUUAAAAAUAUAAAUAACAGCUUACUGUUUGACAAGAAGAAUGAUUAAACUUUUCAAAACAAAACUGAUGUUAACAAGUAUGCUUUUCAAGUAGAAAAAAUAUUUCUGAAGCCAAAAUUCUAGUUAAAAAUAUAUAUAUAUUGACUUGGUGUCUAAACAUUAUUUUUCUAUAAAUAAACUUAUUGACAUUAUUAAAGUUCAUGUGACAUAUUAUUCACUUUCAAAGAAUAUGAAACAAAAUAAAACUUUGGCAGAAGUUGAGGAACUACUAGUGCAAUUAACCCACUUAAAAAUUCAUCAUUUAGGGUAAAAAAUACUCUCCAUAUAUAUGUAACAAUAGAAUAAGCAUUUAUUAUUUUCAUUUUUCACUAUUAAGCCACUAUAUUUAUACACCUGGUGUAGGAAUUUAUCUUAGUUAACUAAGUUCUUCACUGAACCGUAACGAUCUGACUCACUAAUAAUAAUAAUUCGAAUUCAAACCACCGGCUUAAAAUGCGUAAAUCUAGUUAUUAUUAUUAAGGUGCGAGAUCUUAUAUCUUCUUAAUCAGAAUGCUUUUCUCGUCUGAUGUGGAUUAUUGGGGUGUUACAUGAAAAUAAACAACCAACUACUAAAAGGGUGGAUUUAUUUAUACAUAUUAUUGUAAGGGACUUAGAUGGUUGGAUUUUACAUAUAAAUUAGUUUGAGGACCAAAGUGUAAUUUAGACCUUUUUUUUUUUUGUAUAUGGACGUGCAUAAAACCAUGCUGUGAAGUGGUGUUUAUAUAGUAAUUAAGAAAAUGGUCGAGUUGAGCUCAAUAAUGCAACGUCUUAAUUAAACACCGGGACGUGCGCGAGAAUAAUGAUGUGAUUGCAUGUUCCUUGAAUCCGAGCUCAACAAGAUAUUACUACAACUUAUUUCAGGUUUUUUUUUUUUUUUUGUAAAAGGAAAGAAAAAAAGAGAUAGAUCAGUAUGAAUAGUAAAUAAAAAAUUGAUGAGGGGUGUGGGUUCUUUAAUUUUUCGCCUACCUGUAUUGAAUGGGCCACAUGGAGUGAUGUAUUCUGUUGCAGGUGUGUUUUACAAUCAUAUGUGAAUUAUGCGAUGGACACGUGAAUCAACUUGAAUUUUGUGUGCAUUGAUCGCUUAAGUGGAAGGGUAAAUAAUGAAGUUAUUAUUGUUUGAGAUGGUUGAGAUAUACUACCUACAUUAUCGAUGAGGGACUAAUUGGUGUUCCAGAUCCCAAAUUCAAAACCUAGCUUCUCUCUCUUUAAAAAAAAAAUCAUCACUAAUGAGGCUUGUGUCGUACUAUAUAUAUAUAUGUAUGUGUGAUACUACCGAUAUUUGAAUUUUUAGAAACAUAUAGCCAAUUCACUUGCAGCGUACAGAUACACUACUUGUAAGUUUCGAUUGUAUCUCAGCCCAAUUCAACCUUCUGUCAUUUCGCACAUGAUUCGGCUUAACUUAGCCUCCUGCCAUAAAGGCAGGAUGCUGAAUUGGGGAUUGGAUCGGACUUGAUUUCAUCGGAGCCUGUUCCGGGGCUGAAUCAAGCUCAGAAAUUUUGCACCCAAUCUAAUCCUGAGUAAAACUUCAUUAUAGUUGGGGCAGUUUGGGUCGGAUCGGGUCGGGUAGCGUCGGAAAAUCCAAGAUUUAGCUAGGUUAAUCAACGAGAUGGUACGAACCUAUGUCCUACACUGCUACCCUAACAGCCUCCUUUUUUAAUACGGCCUGUCGAGUCGGACUGGGCUAACCUGACUCACCACAAUGUUGGGCUAAACGAAUUGGAUCGGGUGUUAUUGGGCCUAGUUUUUACCAGGAUUAGGAAGCUAGAGAUAAGCACAUAUUAUUAUUAGACCUGGAGUGCGACGUGAAAUUUUAUGCAAAUUUUAAAGUAAAAAAAUAAUUAAAAUUCAUACAGAAGAGAUUUUUGUUAUUUUAACGAACAUCAUAAAUUUAUUUUAAAAAAGAGCUAUAAAAAUAAUAUGUAACUAUUUCGUGCAUUCCAAAAAAAAAGAAAAAGAAAAAAAAUUCUUUAAGUAAGGCCGUAACGCUUAGCACUUUAUUUAUUUUAUUUUAUUUUAUUAAAUUUUGAGCAAAAGCGUGUGGCCUCUUAUUCAGGAAAGUGCGCUGUAAAGUUCGUGCUAACACAUCACUACGCAUCACAGCCACACGAUCUCCAUCGAACCGCUCCAAUUUAUCUCCGUCUCUGCUCCCCAAAAGGUCUGCAACUAAUUAUUACAUUUUAACUUUUCCACCAUUUAUGCCGAAUCCUUCGAUUAUUACUUCUCCUCGUCACUCUCCUUGCCCUAAUUGCGCCCCCCCAAAAGGUAUCUCCAAUCCAAUCCUCUUCGCUUUCUCGCAAGCAAAUUGCUCAAAUUGUGGUAUAGAUCGUUAAUACGUGUGAUCAUUUUCUUCGUUUCUGAUGUUAAAGAGCUGAGAUUAGCUAUGUUGGUUUCCUGAAGCCAUUUUCAUCCUUUUGGCUUUAUUUGGUUGUUUUUAAUGUUGUUUUUUUGGUAGAUUUAGGGUUUAUUGGGCUUUUCAGUGUCUUCAUCAAUGAUUAACUAGUAAUAUAUGAAGUUAAAUUUUGGUCUCAUUGAGUAAAUUUUAGCAUUGAAGCAUGGGAUCACUCAUUUGUGAUCUAAUUAGUGAGAAAAAUCGCAUUUUGCAUCUAAACUCUAGAUUUCUCUGAUAGUUAAGUGAUAGCAGUGAACCAUCAUAUACAGCAUGGGUGUUCCCUGUGCGCCGAUCCGGUGCAUAAUGCUAGACAUGUUCCCUGGACAUGCAUCGACAUGAUCGACGCAUUCUUGGCUUAGUAUGCGUUAAACAUAAACUUGAAAAAUUGCACAAAGUGGUGGCGAUCUUAUGUUGGGCCCGAAAGUGCUUGUGAUGUGUGAGAUUUUAUUUACUCAGUUACUUUACAUAAUUGUAAAGAGUAAAAAGCCUACUUGAGGAAUGGAGCAUUACUUUGGUAUUAAUAUAGAGGAGCAAAAAGGGUUGUAGUAAUUGGACAAAUAUCGUGGAACAAACUUAUUCAAAAUUUUAUGAAACUUUGCAAGAGAAUAGUUAAAGGAAGUUUAGACGAGGAACAGAUGCGUCAGUUUGGUUUGUUACUAAGAAGGAGUGGGUACUGAAGCCAUUUGUUUACUAAAGACAUUUAUUCAGAAGCAUAAGGGACGGGCAGUUGCUCUUAUCCAUUUUUAAGGAAAAUCUUAGGGCAUUCUUGAAAAGAUAUGGUGGAUAAAAGGAGCAAAAGAGUGUAGCGACAACUAGUGAGGUGUCAAUCAAGGAGAAGCUAGUGAGUUCCAUAACAAUAGGAUGCUUGAAGGUGCAUUUUGAAAGUUCCUACUUGUUUGAAUGGUUCUGAGUGGACUAAAAAUAGAUAUUCAAGGUGUCGUUCCCUAUAUAUAUAUAUAUAUAUAUAUAUAUAGAAUUAGGCUACUAUACUAUCUAUAGUACCGGAGCUCCGGUACUAUAGUCUUAUUUUCGAUCUUAGGGUGUUCAAAUUAACGAUCCACACCGUUAAAUAUGAUAUAGGGUAUAUGAAGUUCUUAGGAAUAAAAUUUUAGGUUUUUUCGACAUCGUUUACUUAGUAAAUAAAUCAUGUCAAAAUGGAUGGUGGAAAUUGAAUAAUCUUUAAAAUUUGAGCAUAUGACUUUUAAAUUCAAGAUCGAGAAUGUUAACCUUAAUCUAGAUAGUUUAAAGUAUUUUCUAUCAAAAUUUGAAAAAAUUUAGAUUCUUCUAUACCGUUAAACUCCAAACUCGCCAUAGUAGCCAUUGAAAAUUGACAAUUUUGAAUGGUUUGAUCAUAAAGUAAACUAUGUCGAAAAAAUAUAAAAUUUUAUUUCUAAAAGCUUUAAAUACCUUAGAUCAGUUUUAACGGUGUGGAUCGUUGAUUUGAAUACCCUAAGAUCGAAAACGAGACUAUAGUACCGGAGCCCCGGUACUAUAGAUAGUAUAGGAGACUAGCUCUAUAUAUAUAUAUCACCGAAGUUAAUGUAGGAUUAAAUGCUAACUAAGAAUUGUGAAAACAAAUUAGAAUCUAAACGUUUUAAAGUAAAUUGGUAUAUGAUUAUUUGAAAUGCUAUUUUCGGUAAAUUAUUGUAUCAAGGUGGAGAAGGAAGUAUUGUAAUUAAAUAAGAAGCUUACGUGCCUGUUGGAUGCACGAAUAUGUUGUGCAAUAUAUCUUUUGAUUUUCUCAAGAAACUUGUGGUAUCUCAUAGAUGAGGAGCAUGAUGAAAUAUAUAGAAUGGCAUAUUAUGUUAUUUGGCUACCAAGUUAUUUUCUUUGAAUGAGAUAAUUGUCUCAUAGGUGAAAUGUACUAUUUUAACAAAUUAUGGCUUAUAAGAUCUUGCAAGGAGCUAAAAAUCCAACUCCUAGCCUCCAAUCAUAAAAGAACGAACUAGUUAUCAAUGGAUAACUUGUUUUGACAUCCAAAUAGGCCCAAAAGGAGAUACUUUCAUUUUAUCAAAUCUGUAGUUCAAGAAGAAAAAGAGAUUAAUGAGGAUAUUGUGAAUAAAAUCAGAAUAGGAUGCUGAAAUGGAGAAGUGCAUUUAGGCAUUGUAUAAUUGUUGCAUAUUGCUAAAAUGAAGAUUAUAGGUACGAUGCAAGCUUAGAGAGUUAAUAUUAGCAGGCUAGUUGGUGCAUUAUGUAUUGUGUCAGAGCCACUCCCUGGGGUAGUGUCAUGUUGGACCAACUGAUCGUGCAUAUCAAGUUUACUCUCGGUCCAGCAGGGUAAUAAGGACAUCAAAACAGGUGGAAACAAUGUGGUAUGCUUGAUGUUUCUGGAAGUCAUCAUGUAAUGUAUAUAGAGAGAAGAUUAGGACUAUGGGCCAUGUAUGAGCCUAAUGAAAAUGUCAUGUCGUAAACAGGGAGAGUUUGUCAUAACCUAAUAAUCCUAAGUUUUUUAUGUAGGGAUGAAACUUGGUUGUACAAUGACUAGCACUCUAGUAUUUACGACUUCAGCUUUAACAUUUUCGGCCACAUGGAUUAGGCUCAAAGUUGCUAAUAGUAGUGAACUAAUUUCCUAAUUGGGUCCUUCGAGCCACUCUAGAAGGCACCAUGUGGGAAUAUGUGGGAUCACCUAUUUUGCAUUUUUGGUUUAGUAGAUGUGCUAAUGAGCCUGACAAGGAUGUCACAGCCGAAACCGGAGGUGUUUGUUUACACCCUCAUCUCUCUAAUUGGAUAAUAUAGCUACAAUAAUUUAGUAUAGAAGAAUUUGUUUCCUAGUAUUGAUAGCAGGGGCAUAAGCAUUUUGGGCUAUGUGUGUAGGCUUAACCUGUUUAUGUCUUAAUCGAAUUUGUACUAGUAGUGUCUAGUAGGCAUGCUAGUUUAACACUUAACUUGUUGGACCUGUACGUAUGGUCCAAAACAUUUAAGCCCAACAUACCAAUAUCAGUAUGCUAGUUCUUAUAAGUUGAAAAUAAUUUUCUGUAUAUUAUCAAUUAUGGGACUACUGGGGUGUGAGAAGCUCCCUACUUUUAGCUUUCAUUUGCCCAUCAGGCUCAUUUAUACAUACAUGCUAAUAUGGCGGAUGCACUGUUAGUUGGCUCUAUAUGAUUAGGGCCCCUGAUAGUAGCUUUGAAACAACUAAUGUGCCAACUAGUAUAAUAGUAUUACUGACUUACUGCGUCUAAACUAUGCAGCUCAAAAUGCUUUAGCCUAACGAUACCAUACCCAUGCAUUAUCCCAACUCUAUUUUAUGUGGGGCUACUGGGGUACGGCAGUUUACUUUAACUAGCAAAAAAUGUGGUUUUCAUAUAACUGAAGGCUUGUAAAAUUGUAAUAUUUAUGACAGCAUUGAGCAUUCUAUUUCAUCGUCCGGUGCAGUGCAGCCACAAUAUAAACACAUUUUACAAGAAUGUCCCCAGUAAUUAUAAAGUCUUCUUACAUUGUUGAGUUCAUGUGUUGUUGCUUAUUAGUAUUUCUAGUUGCUGGUGAGUCUGGUCUAUUCCCCUUCGCAAUAUGUUGAGGUUUUGUAUCACAAAAGGUUUUGUAUCACAAAAUGUCAUUUUUUUCUCCUGUAGAGAGAUGUUGUUAAGGAGAUGUUUAGGCAGCGUUUGGUCAGAGGAUAGGGAUAGGAAUAGGCCCUUAUCCCCACCUUUAUGCCCAAACGCUAAUUUUUUACCCGAGAAUAGUAGUUCUCGGUUAUCCCCACCAACACCUCCAUUUUCCAUAUAAAACUAUUUAAAAUUGUUCUUAUCCCCAGGAACAACCCAAUUUUCAUCCAAACACUAUUUUUCUUAUCCCCAUACUUGUAUCUAUCCCUGUAAUAGCUAGUUCUUGCUUAUACCUGAACCAAACGGAACCUUAAAGAUUACCCUGGGCUUGGAGAAAAAAUUUUCUAUCUGAUCUUGAUAGUAAAAGGGAGGUUGUUUUAAGCAUGUGUGAGAUAAAUGGUAAACAUUUUUAUUAUUCUCAGAUAUGUACUUGGUCUCAGUGUAAAACUAUGUUUUUAGUCUAUUGGAUAUGGACAUAACAAAUCUGUUGUAGCUGCUGUUCUUGCGCAUUGUUUCAUCUACAGGAGAAAAGUCGGGCAAUUUAAUUAAUCCCCUGUUAAAAUGCUGGUUUUCACAUCACCUUGUCUUAUUUAACCAUGCCUGCUGAGUAAGUAGAUUGAGAUAGUUAUUCACAAGAGUCGUCAUUUAGGCAAUAAUGGCUUUUGCUACCUCCCAACCUUUGGAGAGAGAACGCGCUUUCUUUCUUAGUCAAACAACGCGUAUUCUCUUUUGCAUAAUAUAUGCAGGAAACUGUCUCUAUCCUCUUUCUAAGUGCUUGUUUAAUUGCUUAAACACUGCUAAAUUAUCUCAAGAGGACAAUUGACUUAACAAAACCCAGUUGCAUUAAAUUAUUGGUUGACUUGCAUCUUUUCCUUUAUGAAAUUGUUUGCCCUUUUUUAAAUUGGUUCAGGGUGAAGACUCUUGCUUAUAUUCAACAAAGAGAUUGAGAAUGCUUGCUCAAAAGUUUAAUUUCUCUUGCAAAGUGAUUUGCGUGUGAUUAGUUGACUUACAGAAGGUUAGCUAUAAUAUAAUUCUUUUUGACUUUCAUUCAUUUCUAAUUUAAGGUGGAUGAUAGUGAUUUAUUUAGUUGUUUGACAUUCAUUUGUUAAUGCAUAAAUCUGGCAUUAGACAUGUAGUUGUCUAGUGAGGAAAUUUUGAAUACUGUGGUUUUAUGCCAAAAUUUAUUCUUUAAGCAUCAGAUAUGCCACUUUAGAACUUGUAUAUUCCCUUUCAUUUGGUACAACAGACCCAUUUGAUCAGCAAAUAAUCCUUCAAAAAUAAAAGAUUAGUUGUUUAUAUCUCCAUCAAAACCAUAAUUUCAUUUUAAAACUCCUGUAGCUGAUUAUUCAUUUUGUGACUAUUUCUUCGAUUUAUUUUGCAGCUGGAUGGGAUAUGUAGGCCACACUCCAAUGUGUAGUAGGGUCCACAAUAUUUUCUAGUAGUUCCUUGCAUUUUCUUUUUAAUAACGAAUAGAUUCUAUUUUUAAGUAUAGUCUUUCUUUUUCUUUUUUUUAAUUAAACAUAACACAUUUCUAGAGGCAGUGUUUCACUGAUACCUAGAACAUAUGAAUUGGUUUUACUACUUUUCAUACUUUAGGUAAAAGUAAUUAGUUUUAUCAUAAAGUAAUUGGUUUUUUUGUACUAAUAUUGCUAUUACGAGCACAACUCUCAAGAAAUUUCUGUUGUGUCUAAGGACCGUGUUGGUGUCGCAGCCGUCCCGUUAUGCCAAUGAUUGGCAGGAACAUGGCACAGCGGCACGCUCCAUGCCAGUGGUAAAGUAUGGCACGGCAGCAUGUCCCGUGCCAAUGUUGGUUGGCACGAUACUCCAUGCCAGUGGCACAUAAUCACGCACAUUGGCAUAAAUUGGUAUAAUUUUUGUGAAAUAGUUUUUUUAUGAAGAAAAUAAUUUCUUAAGAGUGUUUAAAUGCCUCUAAUAUUCUUAAAAAUAGUCCAAAUAGUGACAUUUUACAAAAUUUAGCAUGAAUAUAAUAGCAAAUAUCUUAAUAAAUCAAGAAUAUAAUUUUAACAAGAUAUGAAAUUGCACUUACGAAGACAAAAUUAUAGUCAUAAUUGAAGAAAAAUUUUUACUUUACUAUUACUAAAUAUAAAAUGAUAAAAAAAUUUGGUGGCAAUCGUCGUAAAACAAAUUGAUCCAAUAAUACCCAAGGACUCUCUGUUUGCACAAAAAAAUAUUAUUAAAAUUAUAAGAUCUGCAUGCUUUAAGUUCAAAAAAUCAUUAUAAUACUUUUUUAUCUAAAAAAACUUUAAAAGAAACUUAAAAAAAUAAAAAAAAAGACGUAUUUUCUCAAUACGGUUUGCCACAUCUCCGUGCCGCAUGCCAGCAUGGCCUUGGCACGGUAUAGCACGAGCAGCAUAGGAUGUCGGCAUGGCCUUGGCACGGUGUGGCUAGAGCAGCACAGGGCAUCAUGGGCAAUCCUUGAUAACUGUUAUAUUAUUGGUUGGUCAUAGCAUGGAUAAAAAAACAUCCCUUUUCUAAUGUUUUACUUCAUAUUUUCUUUAUCAUAGAGUUCCUUCGUAGCAAAUUCAAGAGCCUUGAAACUUGUUUAACUGUAGUACUGCACUUAUUGCUUUAUCAAGUACAACUUAAUUUACUUAAGAUUUUGUAUAUGUUUUAGGGUGUGUGUGUGUGUGUAUAUAUAUAUAUAGCUUUUAUGUUUUUAAAAGUACCAAGUUAUUGAUGCUUGUAGAUUUUUAGCCAUUGGAUUAAAAGAUAUGCGGUUAGGAUGAUGUGGGCCCCUUAGAGUUGAGUGGGUGGUUGGUUGAAUAGUAUAAUCUAAUGGUUGAAUAUAUAUAUAGUAGGUCUUGUGUGCUAUUAGGAGCACGGAGGCCUCCGUGCUCCUAAGCCGUUUACGAUCAUGGAGCUUCCAAAUCGACAAUCGGCUACGUUAGAUUUGAUCUAGCGUAUUUGAAAUAUUUAGAAAAUAAAUUUUGUGAUUUUUCGGUAUCAUUUACCUAACGAUCAAAAGAGUUCAAAAUCAACAAUUUUUAAUGGUUGAUGUAUACUAUUUGCACAUUGAACGGUGUAUAAGUAUUUAAAUCAGAUAAAAUUUUGAUAGAAAUUUUUUUAUACUAUUUACAGCAAGAUCAAUAUCUCUAAUCGAAAAUUUUAGUGCUGUAUCACUAAUUUUAGAUUUUUAUUUUCAGCCGUUGAUUUUAACCUUUUCCGAUCGUAGAAAUGAUUCAAAAUAUCCAAAAUUUAAUUUUAUACGCUGCAAAUACUAACAAGUCUAACGGACAGCGAUCAAUCGAUCGGAAUCUCCCCUAUAUCCGAAAACGUCUUAGGCACGGAGACUCCGUGGCUCCUAAUAACACACAAACCUACACUAAAUAAUAUAUAACUAUAAUAUAUAUAUAUUAUAUAUAAUCAUAAGCUCUGUGCUCUCAGGAGCACGGACCCUCCGUGCCCUGAGCUUCGAGAUGACUACUAAUCGACGAUCGGCGCUCCUUUAGACUUGAUCUAGAGCUAUUUGAAUAUUAGAAAAUAAUUUUCAUUUUUUUUUUUUCUGAAUCAUAUCUACAAUCAAAGGAUUAAAAUAAUAAUUAACCCUGAAUAAAAUUUAUUAAAAAGUGGUGAUUUAGCACCAAAAUUUACUCAUUAAAAUAUUGAUCUUCUUAAUUAAAAGAAUUUUAACAAAAAUUUCAUCUGAUUUGAAUACUUCUACCCGUUAAAUUUGAAAACGACAGAUAUCAACAUAAAAUUAUGAUUUUAUCCUUCAAUCACUUUAGAUAAAUGAUAUCAAAAAACGCAAAAAUUAUUUCUUAACUUCAUAAAUACCUUAGAUCAAUGUUACCGGAGAGCGAUCACUCGACUCAAAUUCAUCAAAACGCUAGAGACGGAACCAUCCGGGCCCUGGAGAGACAGAGCCCUGCCUCAAUAUAUAUAUAUAUAUAUAUAUAUAUAUAUAUAUAUAUAUAUAUAUAUAUAUGUUAGGACUAUUAUUCUCUUAUGAGUAUAGAAUUCUUAAUACUCAGAAGUUUUUGACCAUUGGAUAAAAGAAUGUGCGGUUAGGAUGAUAGUGAUUUUCUAGGGUUGAGUGGGUGGUUGGUUGAAUAGUAUAUUAUAACAGAUGGAAAUAGUCAAAGGAAUAAAUUUAACAAUCAAAAAUUUAUGAGUACAAAAAUAUUUAUACUCAUAAAAUUAUAGUAGCUCUCUUUAUAUAUUUUAUAGAGAGAGGGAUGGAGUAGGGCUACUAUACCCUUAUAAGUAUAGAGCCUUUCGUACUCAUAAGUUGUUUUAGAUGAUGGAGUUUCUGAAUCGAAGAUUCACUUCGUUAAAUAUGAUCUAGAGUAAUUGAAGCUUCUAAACAAAUAAAUUUUGUAAUUUUUCGAAAUCAUAAUAAAUUUCAUUAAGCAGGGAUAAAAUGAACGAUCAAAAUCGAACGACGUCCUAAAAAUAGAUGAUCGAAUUCUUCAAUUUAAGAUCGGAGUUAUUAAUCUUUAUGUAGAUAAUGAGUAGAAUUUUCUAUCAAAAAUUCAACUGAUUCUGAUUUUUUUACAUCGUUAAACUAGCAAGUAUCAUAUACCAACCGUUAGAAAUUAUCAAUUUUGAGAUCUUUUGAUCGCAAGAUAAAUAAUAUCAAGAAAUUAUAAAAUUUGAUUUUUAGAAGUUUUAAAUACUCUAGAUAACGUUUAACGGUAUGGAUCGUCGAUUCGGAAGCUUUAUCUUCGAAAACGAUUUAUGAGUACGAAGGCGAUCUUACUCAUAAGAAUGUAGUAGCCGGACUCUCUCUCUCUCUCUCUCUCUCUCUCUCUCUAUAUAUAUAUAUAUAUAUAUAGUCCGGUUGGGAUACUAUCGAUAGCACCAAAGAUUUGGUGCUAUCAAGUUUUCUAUCAUUAGAUUUAACCCUUUGAUUAUUUUUAGCCGUUAGAUUAUACUAUUCAACUAACCACUCAUUCAAUCCUAGGAGGCCCACAUCAUCUUAAUCAUAUAUUUUGCAAUCUAAAGGCUAAAAAACUAAUAGCACCAAUAACUUAGUGCUAUUGAUAGUAUUCCAGUCUAUAUAUAUAUAUUCUUUUCUUGGCCCCUUUGUUGCUGUUGAAAGAGGUAGCUCAGGGUCUAAAUCACCUUGGCAUGGUCAUGUAACAUGUAUGUGUUGUUUCUCCACACAUGUAGAUUACAACAAUGGAGGAAUUGACAUGUUCACUAGAAAGAAAAUUAAGGGAAAAGUAAGAUAUUUUUGUAUCCUUGAAAUUGGAGAUAGCCAUUCGCGGAAAAAAAAAAAAAAAAAGAAGAAGAUUUCCUAACUAGUAAGCUGAAAAAAAUUCUCUAAAAUUUGCCAAUCGGAAUUCGAAAGAAAGAGUUGUACAAAUGUUAAACAAAUGUCCAAGUCAUUGCAUCUCUCUCCAAAAUUCAACUGAUAUAUGAAUGUAUGAGAUGUUUAUAGCAGCAUACUGUAUUAGAUCCCUGUUUGAAACAAAACAGAUUAUCUUUUAUGCAUUAUCACAAAAAAAGAAAAUACUUUAAUACAACCUGAUAGAAUUUUAAGAUUUCAAUUCACAGAAGAAAAUCUUGAUACUGCACUAGUUAUUACUUGAUAACUGUAGGUCUUGCGAAUUGUUAAAUAUAAAAAUUUAUAAACACCAUUCUCUUACAGCUUAAGUUUAAGUUUUUAAAGUACAACGAUUGUUUUACUUAGUAUCAGAAUAGGAGGUUUUGAAUUCGAGUCACGCCGGGCUUCAAGUAUUUUUAAUUUUUUUUUAUUUAAUUUAAGUUGACGUUAUGAGCCAUACAAAAAGUUUCUAGUCCAGACGUGAGGUGGACGAAUAUCCUGUAACUUUGUCCUUGUGUGACGAUUUUGGAUGCGGCAUAAUUACACGACGCAAACAAUAUCGAACACGACAUGAAGUUAUAGAGAGAAGCUUGAAAUCGACUAGACGUAGAUCUCUUUAAUCUGAAAAUGACACAAUAUGAUGAUUUGAGAUGAUCUACAUAAAAAAUCUAAGUUAUUAAUGUUACAAGUAUUUAAGACCGUAUUAGUGUUGUUUGAGCGAAACUGUUUGUGAGAUACUUGGGUAAUAUAUUUUGGCGUGGUACAACUAUUUUAGAAGCUAGUCCAAAUUAAUACUUAAUUAAUUAAGAAAUUAGCAGAUAAGAAGAAGAAGACAUCUUCUUAUGUCCUUUUUUUAUAUAAUUUCAAAUUGAAGAAGUACAAAUGGGGCAGCUUCGUCCAACCGUGAUUAACAUUAUUAUCUUGAGUGGUUACAAUUGUUUAAUUUUUCACUCCUCUUUUAUUCCUCUCCCACCUUUUAAUUUUUCUAAUUAUUAUUAGCAAGCUGUUAUUUUUUUGUCUUAGAAACUAUUCGACCACCCUAAAAUCGACACGUAUUGGAUUGCGAAAUAUAUAAUUCUAAGGGUUUGAAUUGCUAAUACUUUACUAUUACACUUUGUAACCACAAUGUAUAUAAUAAGGAUCGAGAUAAACACCCACGUCACCUAUAUUAUCAAAUAAUGCUAUAAAUAAAUAAACAAAUUCAUAAUUUUUUUUUUCCCCCUUUCGCUCAACUUAUUUUAUAUGAUUACUAUUUUUUUACAUUCAUUUACGAACUAAUCUUAAAAAUAUCUGCCCACGAGCACACACGCUUGAGGAUCAUAAUGUUAUAAUUUAACUCUUUUUAAUAUAUUUUGCAUCUAUGAUUUGGUAGCUCAAUAAUUAUGUAAACAUGUGUUUUGUAUGGGGACACUGUCAACUAUAGCCUAUUAUGAAAUAGGCCCUCAUACUUUAUUUUAUUUACUUUUAGAUGCUAUCUCAACUGUUAAUUAGUUUUUUAAUUAUCUUAAUCACUUCUUUGUUAUAACCAAAUUAAAAUUUUGUUACAUUUAUCUACCAUACUAUUUAUCAGCUAUUAACAGUUAAAAAAAUUUGCAUUUUUGAUCAGCUAAAAAAAAGCUGUUCAAAUAAUUGAAUCAACAUAAUUGCUAUUGAGUCCUUACAUAAUCAAGGGGAAUAAAACUUGAGUGUCAAAAAUACUGUUUUUUUUUUUUUAUGAAAAAAAACAAAGACUCUAUUGAGCUAUUGUUUGUUUACCAAUCCAUACACUGUACUUUAAAUCUAUUAUUUUUAGCUACUAUAUGAUUUUUCUCUUUCCGAAGAAUUUACUAAAUUAUCAUGUUCUCACCAACCUCUAUAUUAUAGAAUAAAUAAAUCUACUAUAUUAGAUAGAAACUAAUCAUUUUAUUAAAAGAAACUAGUUAGAUCAUCGGAAUAAAAAAUAAAAUGAGCUUUCAAAAAGAGAUAUAUUAGAGAAACUAAAAAAAACUUCUAUACAAUAUAUAUUGUAUAGUAUAGUGCUAUUAAGGCGAAAAAAAUUAAAAAUUUGAGGUGUUACCUUUACAUUUUUAUUUAUAUAUAUUUUUUCUGCCUAUCAAUUAUAAUUAUCAUCAUAUGCACCUUGUUCUUAAUAAGAGAUAGGAAACAUAGAGACAACAAGUAGUGACCUUAAUUCUCUCCUGUUCCUGGGAACCCUUAUUUUUUUGGUAUCUUUGCACGAUCCUUGAUGUCCAAAAACAAACAUUUUAAUCGAAAAAAUGUGGUCUAAAAAAUGGCAAAUGAUGUCUCAGUUUGGGGCCUUUUUUUUUUUUUUUUUUGUAGCAUAUGAGUGGGGAAUAUUUCUUUUAAUUAUUAUUUUUAUUUAUUAUAUAUAUUAUUAUAUUAUAUUAUAUAUUAACAUUAAUGGGGGUCGCACGAAUGACCAUUUUUGUGUGGAGAUGGUGGGGCCCACCUGUCUCCCCAUUGGACCAUAGUACCGCGUGGGAGCCAAUGGUAUGUCCCCAUUGGUUUAUGGAGUGGGGCCCCACAAUUUAUCUAGUUUGUUAUUGUUAGAGGGUUUUUUUUUUUUUUUUUUUUUUUUUUUGCAAAUAUUGAAUUGGACAUUGAAUUUGGAUAAAUUUGGCCACAGUUAAUAGCGAUCAAAAUUAGAUACAUUCGCCGUACCAUUAAAGAUAACAGUCCCACGAACGGAUACAAAAUAAAAUUAGUAUAUUUCUUUGUUAGUUUAAGGUUUUGAUUUGUUACGAGCGUUUUAACACGGUAUCAUAGCACAGUUCAUAUUCUGGUGGCUCAAUGGGAUAUGAAGUUGUUCAUGCUAUAUACCAGCAAUACUUAGCAUUUGGAUUGGGUCCAUGUUGCUUCUGAUUAGUAGCAGUUUAGCACGUGAUUUGAUCCAAGUUCAACGUAAUUAAAAACUCUAAUUGAUUUGAUAGGUGGAGAUGUCUACUUUGCACAUUAUAUUAUACAACUUAGUCCCUGUAAAUUAGGGUUGCAUUUUGGUGUUCGAUCGAGUUCAGAUAAUAGCCUUUUAAUUCAUGCAAGUUUUGGUGCCCACGUAGGUCAUUUUUGGUGGUGUUGGAUGAGAUUGGGUCAUCUUUGAUCAAAUGAAUGGGUAAUUUGAUAAAUAAUUUGUGUUUUACGAACGAACGAGUUGAAAGGUAAGAACAGAUAUAAAAAUAACAUAUUAAGAGAGAUGAAAAUAAUUUUAAAACAAUUAUGCAAAAAAAUGAUUAUAGGUUGGUUUUUUUAUUGUGAAAUUAUAGCUGGAGAGUAGCCAGUUUGGUUCUCAAUUCCAAACUAUCAAUAUCUUUCCCAAAUCCCUGCAUGAUCUUUUCUCUCUCUCUCUCUCUCUCUCUCUCUCUCUAUAUAUAUACCUAUAAUUACGAUUAUCUUUAUACUCAUAAGUCAUUUUCGAUAAUAAAACUUCCGAAUCGAUGAUACAUACCAUUAAACAUGAUUUACAGCAUUUAAAACUUCUAAAAAUCAAAUUUCAUAUUUUUUCAAUAUCAUUUACCUUAUGAUAAAAAAAUCUUAAAAUUAAAAAUUUUUAACGGCCAGUAUAAAAUACUUGCUAAUUUAACAGUGUAAAAGAAUCAAAAUUGACUGAAUUUUUAAUAGAAAAUUAUAUGCAUUAUCUAAAUAAAGAUCAAUAACUUCUAUCUUAAAUUGAAGAAUCAGAUCCUCUAUUUUUAGUAGGCCGUUCAACUUUGAUCCUUCAUUUUAUGCUUGCUUGAUGGAUUUUAAUAUAAUUUCGAUAAACUACGAAUUUUUUUUUAAGAGUUUCAAAUACUCUAGAUCAUAUUUAACGGUAUGAAUCGUCAAUUUGAAAGUUGCAUUAUCAAAAGUAACUUACAAGAGUACGAAGAGAUCUAUACUUAUACUCUUAUAGUAACUCUACUCUAUAUAUAUAUAUAUAUAUAGAGAGAGAGAGAGAGAGAGAGAGAGGGAGAGUUGAGCUAGAAUAUUAUUGGCAGGAUGAGAAUAGUUUUACUAUCAACUUUUUGAUGAUUAAAUGUUUAGGGUUUAGGAAGGGUUGGUGAAAAAUUGAUAAUCUAAGAAUGAAAACAUUGAUAGUAAAUACUAUUCAUAUAUUAUUAAUAAAUUACUAACUCAACUCCUAUAUAGAAAUGACCGACCGUUCCUAGAGCAAGUGGCAAAGGGCUUGGUGGUUGGUACCCGAGGUCCCAAGUUCGAAUCCUAGUUGAUUCACAUUUCCAGCUAAGUUUAUUUCUAAAUGAAAUAAAUGAAACGAGUAGCAUGCUACCUAUCUCUCUCAAAAAAAAAAAACUAACUCAACUCCUAUAUAGAAACGUGUUUGUGUGUGUACUUAGCAUGCCUGUGUCUCACUUAAACUAGAUCCCUACUAAUUGGGGAUUCUAAUCCUGUACCCCUUUAAGUAUGCUUUCCAAUGCAGUCACAAAAAUCACGUUAAGGAUUGCUCUUCUUUUAUUAUUCCUACUAAUACAACUCUGAUUAAGGUGGCGCUAACAAAAUAAAUUUAAAUGCUCAACCUUCGCUCUUUAAAUGGAGAGGGCACAUAGUUAAUGGUGGUGUGAACGGUAAAAGAGAUUUUGAAUCACAGAAUAAGUGAAGUAAUUGACAAUUGACAUUAAACUUUCGGUUUUUAAUUUGUUAGCGUGACUUUCACUUGAACUGAUUGUAUGGGUAUCAGAGUUAGGGUGAGAAACAGAAGGUUGGAUGUGAAUGGCCCAAUUUGAUAAGUCAUUUCAUUUACAUGCAAGUAAAAGAGAGGUUUUUUCAUUGGAGUUGUGCACAAUGAUUACUCUUGCUUAACUUACAAAAUAUUUCUUAGAAUUGUGCCCAAUUAAAAGUUCACAAUCAGCUUAAUCUUUUUUUAGUCUCUUUUGGAUCAAAAGAGUUGAAACUUUGUCUCCUCUUCUUCAUCUGGUCAUUGGUGGAUCUUCAAGUUGUGGGUCUUCAAUUUGGUAAAACAGUUAAACCCUAAGACAAUCAUGAUAAUUAUUAUGUACAAGCUAGUAAUUAUGAAACUCCUCUUGUUUAUCAACUAAGCUUUUAUGAUGAUUAUAUUUUAUAUUCAUAAAUAUUGAUCUUUUGAUGAGUAGAAAAUAGUAGUAUCUUCAAAUGGGGCGUAUCGUACGAGUUAGGGAAUGGAAGCACAAUCAACUUUUGGACAGACUGCUAGCUGGUGCGAGAAAAUCCCCCUACAAUCAUUAUUUCCGGACUUGUAUGACACGGCAACGCGCAAAAACAUGAGAAUUAAGGAUUGCUUGACGUGUGACGGAUGGAAUUGGAACAAAAUAAUAAGGAGAAACAGUUCUAUUGAGUUCGGAUCAAGGUCUAGCUUUUCAGCACUUAGGGGAAAGGAUAUCCGAUUUUAGAGCAGAUCAAAGGCCGGACAGAGUUUUGUGGAGGUACGUGGAGCUCUGACGGUCGAUUCUCGGUGAAAUCGACCUAUUCAGCUUUGAAUGAUGGGGGUACGAGGGACGCCCGAGCAAACAAAAUAUGGAACCUUCGAAUACCACUAAAAGUAAAAGUGUUUUGUUGGAUCGUCCUCACGAAGAGGUCUCCGACGGUAGAUAACUUGAUUAAGAGAGGAUGGGUCGGAAACACAGCUUGUGUGCUAUGUGGGGUUGAAGAAGAAUCGGUAGACCAUUAUUCACACAGUGCGUGUUUACUAGAUUCCUAAUGGUGAUGACCUUGGAUGGCAUCCAGUCCGAGGAUAUUGGAAACGACGUGAAAUUGGUCUGGGAUAUGUUGAUGAUUAGAAAAGGGCGCCAGACACAGAGCAAUGGACUGACUAAACUUAUAGCUUGCUGGUGGGUUACUUGGGAGGUCAGAAACAAUAUGAUCUUUCGAAGGACUCCGACGAACCCACUAUUAGCCAUCAGCAAAAUCAAGCAGUUAAAGUACAUGUGGGGGCAAAUUAUCUCAUCAAAGCAAUCAUUUUAUUUUAUUUUAUUUUAUUUUAUUUAUUUAGUUUUUUUUUUUUUUUUUUUUUACUCACCUUGCUUGAGACCUACUGUUGCCUCACCCUUGUAGUCUAAUUCAUACUUCUACUGAAUGAAACGGGUAGCGUGCUAUCUUUAUCUCAAAAAAGAAAAUAGUCUCUUGCAAAGCUAUUUCUCUAUAAGCUACAAAAUCAUUAAAACAAUAAGGUUUCACCCCUUGUCUCAUAUUGCAUAAGAAUAAUUAAUACAUUACUUUAAAAUCACAACAGUUGGCUAUAUAUAAAGCCUAUAAUUAAUAUAUGUUUAAUUUACCUAGCUAGUUUGUAUACUCUUAAAAUAAGUUCUUAGUCUAAGUAGGUAUUUAGAAUGGUCUUACUUGGGCAUGUACAACUUGGCAACAGCUCUCAAGUAGUCUUAAUGUUGUACUGAUCCUCUUCUGAGGAGUCGGGGCCAGCCGGCCGGAAUCCGUUUGGCGCCAGGAACUGCAACCGCCCAUCGGACCGAAAGGCCAUGCACGAGUCCCGCGCGCUCAUCCGGAAAAGAAAAAAAAAAAAAAACUUAGAUAGACAAGAAAAUGCCAAAUAUAAUCUGCAUUUCGCGACGAAUCUCUUAAUGAUUUUAAUAAAAUUUUGCUUAAGAUUUUCUGGGUCCGCUAAAGUUUAUUGAUAUCAUAAUCUCUUUGAUGUUUCUAGUCAAAAAUCUGAGCUGGUGGAUGGUCCCAUAACAUGGAUCUUCGAUUCUUUAUUAACACAAUUGUUGUGGUCCCCUUUGUGUUGAGAUAUUGAUUAAGGGACGUGAUCUUUGUAAAUUACAUAGCUUGCAUAUCAGUGCAUUAGAAGGCAUAAAGCCCCGUAUUGCCGCUCGAUUUGAAUGUAAUUAGAAAUACAAUAUAGUGGGAGAUGUAGCAGUCACAACUACGUACAUAUCUAGUUUGGUUGGAUGUAGAAAAAAGCACUUCGUUAGUUGCACAUAAUUGAUUGAGAAAGUGUAUUCCAAAGUUUUGUCAUAUAUAUAUAUAUAUAUAUAUGGUGGUGAGAUUAUCUUUAGUGUAGAAAAAAAAAAAUUCUUUGUUUAAAAAAUGAUAAGGCUGGUAAGCUUACCUUUUGGAUAAAAUUACUCUUUCUAAUUGCUGUACUUGGAACUGCACGCAACUAAUUGUGGGUAGUUUCAACUACAGUAGUUGGUCCCAAACGCAUCAAAUCAAGUAUCGGAUUUGAAUUUGCAUUUACUUUUGUAGCGUAAUUCAACUACAUAUAUACAACCAAACAAUCCCAAACUAAAUAGUGAAAUUCUCAUUCCAAGGAUGGUUUCUCUACCAACUAUCAUUUGGAUAGAGGAGUAUGUAAUACAUGUUAAGAUCAUAUGGACAAUUUUCAAUGAGAUUAUUCUUAUGGUAAUGUAGUAUCAGAGCAUGUUUUAAGCCUCCUUUGUUUCGAGGGAUUUUGAGUUCAAUUAUACGGUUUAAUUCAACUAACUUUUACUACCCUUGCGACCGAAGGUAUUGGCCAUUUUUUGAGAGCAUUCUUUAUUAGAAAGAUUUUUUUGGGUAAUAAUCAUGAGCAAUGCUAUCCAUACACUUUAUAACUAGAGUGCAAAGAUUAUAUUAUUCACUCACUUAUCUUAUCAGAUUUUUUUUAAUUAAACUAAAAUCUCAAAGGGGUUUAUCAACCCUUCGAUCAACGGUAUAAAAUAUGUACCCUUAUAAGGAGUGUACAUGUAGCAUUUCUCAAUAAUAACCAUUUUAAAUGUCGAGGCACCCUCAACUAUAGUCCAUUGUUAAGUAAUGGGGCCUACGUACAGUUGAGGGGGUCUAGUACAUUUUUACUUUAUUUCUUAAAAUAAAAAAUGAAGCUAUUUCAUUAUUUUGUUGUGUAUAAAAUUACUUAAAAAUCGAAUGACAGUUGUAACUUAAAUUAUGUAAUCACUGAAAACCAUUGAAGAACAAUAAAAGGAGAGAGACAACCCGAUCAAUAAUAAUCAUUGGUAUUACUAAAGUUGAAUGAAAAUGAUAUUUGCUUUCUCAAAAAAUAAAAUGGAUUGAGAAUGGGAGCCAAUCUCUUAAAAUAGUUGCAUAGGUAUUAGGUAGAUAUUGCUAGAAAUUUCAUAUUUUAAUUUCUUUUUUUGAAGAUACACUACAACAGAAUUAGAUUAUAGGGACACAUAUUUGGGACACUUUUGAGUAAGUGUCCCAUUUAUGCUAAAACUUAAAAAAAACAUCUACUUAUGCCUAAAUAUAAAGCUCAAUCCAACCAAAAAUAAAAGAUUACUCUACUCAACCCACCACACCGUCCAUUGGACCCGAUUACAAACAGAAAAAAAAAAAGAAAAAUCAAUUACCAUCUUUUCUUCUCUCUUCACUCAAUCCACUGAAAUUCUAGACGAAGAGCCUUUCCUGUCGUCCUCCUCUGCCACCGCAGCCAACGAGAUAGAGUUUCGGCGGUUGCUAAAUGCUUAAAUAAGUGUUGGUAAAUUAGCAGCAAUCUUUUAGAUUAUAGCGACACACUUUAACUGUCACUAUAUACCUAGCGACCCCACAUAUAGCAACACUUUUUAAAAGUGUCGGUAAUUUUAGCUAGCAGUACUUUUUUGCAUGUACCUACAUUUAAAAGUGUCGCUAUAGACCGCUUUUGUUGUAGUGAUAUUGCUUAUAUUUCUUAGUGUAU
rnacentral:lncRNA from 1 species